CCCACCCCCCUAACAUCUUCUUCUUCUUCAGUUUUUGACAACCAAAACCAAAAACCUUGAACACCCAUAAGCAACCAGCCGCCAAGAAAAAAAAACAGAACGCCCUCCAUCAUCCUCUCAUCAUCUGUCGCAACUCCACCAUCUCCGUUUCCUAACUCGCCGGAGAAGCAAUGAAAACCGGCCAAAAACUCCACUGAAACCAGCCAAGAAAAGCUUCAAAAUUGCAGAAAUUUUCAGCCAAAAAACAGCACCAAAAAUACCUCCAAACCAGCCCUGAAAACCAAUCUAUAAAACAUCCAAAUAAAACACCAUAGCUACUGCAAAAUCAGCUAUUUAGAGCCACGAAAUCAGUCCAAAAACAACAGCUUUUAAGCAACCCAGUAGUUGAGUUUCUGACCAAGGUCGUUUUCGAGGUCACCGUCGAGGUUAUACUCGAUCGAUUCUGUUCCGAUCAAGAUCUAAUAUCGCGCUCAUAGUUGCUAUUGUAACCCGUUUACACUGAAGAAAUAAAGGUUCGUCUCAGUCCUGUUUGCUCCAUCUGAAUGUUUGGACUUAAACUUUUCUACUUUAGAAUUUUGAAGUGUAUUUGUUAUGGGUUGGUUGAUGGAUAUUGCUUAUUCUUUUUGUUAUUUUUAUUUUAUAUAGUGAAUCCAUUCUUAGUUUGAGAUCUUUGUGAUGACUAUACUGAUUUUCUGUUUCUUGUUAUUAGUUUUAUAAUUGCAAUUUAGUAGUAGCAAUUUAGUUUUACAAGUCUAAUUUGUCAAGCCUUAUUGAUUUUAGUCGGGAAAAUUUGGUGCUAGAAAGCUGUGACUUAGCUAAAACAUUUAUAUAUAGUUGCAAUUUGGAAAAUACAAAGUUUUCUAAACACUAUCGUGGUGGGGCCUCACUGUCUCUUUUGAUUUCCAUGUCUUCAAAUUAAUUGUUCUUCUUUUGGCUUGGUCUUUUCUCUUUCAUUUCUUUUGGAUGAUAGACCAAAUGAGCUAAAAGUCAAUUAGCACGCAUGAAUAUUUACUUGAUACAUUACUGUUUGAGUACAAUUUUUGCAUUAUUGAGAUACUUUAAGUGGAAUGAAAGGAGUAGAAAUCUGAAAGGAUUAUUGAUGUAAAGUAAAUGUCAUUGUAGGCUCCUGUUUGUUGGAUUAAGUGCGUAAUAGUUCAAGUUGUUUUUAUAAGUUAUGUGGUGUUAAAUUGGAAUGGCCAUUGGGCCUAACCCUUCGGUAGAAUGUUGAUCUCAAACUUAGGAAUAUAAUCACUCUUGAAUAUCGUAGCUGGCUUUAGGCGCGAUUUAAUAUAUUGUCGUGAUUGUGUACACGUUCGCGUGACAUAAUUACGAUCCUAAAAUAAAUCGAGGGAUGCUUUCGCGCAACUUCAACAAAGCUUUUCUUAAAAAAUAAACAAAGCGUUAUUAAUUGUGGACACGUUCGCGUGACAUGAUUUUUGACGCGCCAAAGGAAAAGAGUAUACAUACACGUAACUCACUUCUUUAAUUACGAACAAAUCAAGUGAUUUAAAAGCGAUAAAAAGAUAAAUGAACAUAGGUCCUAAAAAUGAGUAGUUAAACAAUUUAAGCCAAUUAAUAAUCACUAAGUGACCGUGCUAGAACCACAAAACUCAGGAAUGCCUAAUACCUUCUCCCAAGUUAACAGAAUUCCUUAUCUAGAAUUUCUGGUUCCCAGACUUUAUAAAAUAAAAUUUUCCUCGAUUUGGGAUUUUAAAAUAAACCGGUGACUUGGGACACCAAAUAAACUAUUCCAAGUGGCGACUCUGAUAAUUUAAAUAAUCUCAUUUCGAAUAAUGUCACUUAAAUUGGAAAAAUUCCCUCAUAUACUCCCUCGGGUGGUAAAAGUGUGAUAGUUGUGAAAUGGUGGAAUAAGGGAGGAUUUUGAUAUUGAUUAUAAUGAUAUGGUGGGAUCGGUUUGCCCGCCAUAACGGUUGUGUACGUAAUACUUGAUAUUGAUAAAUUAUGACAUGGUGAAAUAAGGGAAGAUUAUGACAUUGAUUAUAAUGAUAUGGUGGAAUCGGGUUGCACGAUGCAACAGAUGUUAUAUGUGUUCUUGAUAUUGAUAAAUGAUGCUAUGGUGAAUUAAGGGAGGAUUGUUUGUGUAAAGUGGGAUCGAGUUGUACGUCGCAACAAAUUAUGUAUGUUGUAAUCAUUGUUAUUGUGUUGGUUUCCAGCAUUUUUACGAGAAAUUAUGAGAUCGGUUAUUCUGUGUUCUCUGAUUGCAAGGAUUAAGUUCUUUUUCUUAAGUUAACUGCCUUACUUUCUUUUCCUGCACUGCACGCCGCAGGGGUUAUUAUAUUGUACCUAUUGAGCGUGAGUGCUGAGUAUGAGCGCUGAUUAAUAAGAGUUGAGUCAUGAGUGACUGAGAGGCUUGCCCGAUGGGCUAUAUAUACAUGUAUACGAGUGAUGCUUUGCUUGAGGGGCCUGUUUAUGUACUUCUUGGUUUCACUCCUCUUUAAAGUGAGUUUCUAUUGAAUAUGUUGAUUUAAUUACUGCUUUCACUCAUUUUUUAGACGGAGCCUCUAUUGAAAAUGUUGAACAAAUGCUUUAAACAACUUUCAUUUAAACUGAAGUUUUUAAGUUAUGAAAUGGUUAUGAAUUUCUGUUUCGCCGAGGGGCUGUAUAUGAACUAUGUUUUGCCCGAGGGCCCGAUUAUGAUUUUCAUCACUUUCACUAUAAAUUUCACUGAACUUCUACUGAAAAUUGUUAGAAAGGCAUUUUCAAAGGAUAUUUCCCGAAAUGGGAGUUGAACGAGAUGAUUUGGUUUGUAUCCUGUUUUGAAAACAUGCAGUAUCCUCUAUGGUGCCAUGAUGUGGUUUUACGUGAUUUCUUACUGCUAAGACUUUAUUUACUUUUAUUACUUACUGAGUUGGAGUAAUCACAUUACUCCCUGCACCUUGUGUGCAGAUUCAGGUAUUCCGGAACCCGGUAGCGGGUGUUGAUUGCUUAGAGGCAGAGUCACCGAAGUUAGCAAGGUGGCUGCACGACGUUCGCAGCACUGCUUUCCUUCCUCUUGUUUUCAUUAGACUGUAUUUAGUAUACUUUUAGACUCUUGUUAUAUUCAGAACUUUGUAGAUGCUCGUGACUAGUGACACCUCGAUGUCGGACUUGUGUAUUUAUUCUGUACUUUUCAUUUCAACUUACACCGAGACUAUUGAUUUAUAAAUGGUAUAUAAAUAAUUGUUAUUGAAUAAUGGUUGAUUUGGGAGUUGUGUCGGUUGACUUAGUUUCACGAAGGCGCCAUCACGACUAGGUCGGUGCUUGGGUCGUGACACCAAUAAUAAUAUAUUAAUAAUGCGAAUAAUCAUGGAUUUAUUAAAAUCGGCAGUAAACUCAAGUAAGUCAAGAAACAAGUAAACAUUCCUUUUUAUAUUUAGAAGUCUCCAAAUUCAUAAUUCAUUAUUUAUCAAUUUAUCAGACCAGGGAGGCAAUAUCAAUUUGGAAAUCUCAAGCAAGCAUUACAAGCAUGCACAAAUCAUGCCGAGGUUAUACAGCCCAAUCCAACAAAUAUUUAGAUUGUGCACUGCCAGAGGGUCGAAUGGCGCGAACCUUUCAUCUACAAACUUUGGGUGAGUGAUUCUAAUCCAUUUCUAAUCAUAUUCCAUCAAUUUAUCUUGGAUUUUAACAUCAAAAUCAUUUGAAUCAAAGUGAAAAUUUGUGAAACCUUGUCAAGUUUAUGAAAAAUAAGAAAUUGAGUUUUGAGAGUCGAUUUGCACUCGAAUUUUGAAACUAAUGACAUAUAUGAACUCGUGGAUUCGUGGGUAGUCGGAAUCUAUUAUUGGACUCGGGUUUUGACCGGGCGAGCCCCGGGUUGACUGUUGUUGACUUUUUGGGAAGAGUGUAAAGAUCUAGUUUUAUCUAUUGUAAUUGAUUUCCCUAGAAUUUUUGAUGAUAUUAAGUCGAUUUUGGUUAGAUUCGGUUGGUCUGAGGAAAUGCCCCGGUUGAGCUUUGAUUUGAGGGAAUUUUGAACCCUUGAACUAUAUGUUAUGUGAAUUACGUGUUAAAUUCUCCUUAGGUAGCACGUAGUUGCUACCUCGUUAAAAACCUUGCCGGUUAAACCCAUUUGGAACAAAAUCCAAUUUAAGGGAAAAAGAGUGCAAUGCAUGCUUUAAAAUCUAAGGUCUUUGUGUAAAUGAUGAUGCCUUCGAGAUCGUAUGCCUUCGAUAGCUUCGAUCGAAAAUUUGUAAUGAGUUAGUUCUAAACUUAAAUAGACAAGGAUAAAAUCAUACCUGAGCAGUAGUACCGGUUGAGUUAUGAUAUGUUCCAAUUGUUUGGCAGUUGUUCACCUCCCAUUGUGCUAAGUUUGUAAGGUCCUUUAACAACAACUCCGAGGACUCGGUACGGUCCUUCCCAGUUGUUGAUACCCAAUUUUUCCCUAUAUAUAUUUUUAAUAGAUAUAAAUACUUUCAAAAUAGCGUAUAUGCAUAUAUAAGCAUGCAUAAGCAUUUUAUAAUUUUUUCUAUAAUUUUAAAGGCUUCAAAUUGAUUUAUUCCCCCCCCUUUUUACUCAUAAAAUCUCCAAUAAUUAUCUUUCAAAUUAUAUUUGUGGCGAUUUAGCCAUCUAAAUUCUGUAUUUAUGCCAAAAUAUUGUUAAAAUAUUUUGGUGCAUUUUUUAAUAAUUGCAUUUGCAUUUUCUAAGCUAAUUUGCAUAUAUUUCCAAUACUAGCCCUAUUAAUGCAUAAUUACAUUUAUAUGCAUAAAAUAAUUUUCUAUAUUUUUAAAAUGUUAAAUAGCUAUUUUAAAUUAUUUUAGUACAUGAAAUUAUUUUUUAGAAAUCAUUUAUAAUUUAUUAUAAAUUAUAUAAUAUUAAAUUGGCUAUUUAAAACAUAGCCAAAUUAUAUUUCAAUUUUAGCCUAAAUUCAACCCAAUACCCAGCCCAAUUCCUUAUUAAAUUACCUGACCUAUGCCCUAAAUACACUUACCCGACCCAAGAACCCAUCAGAUCAUGGCCGUUGAUCUUCGUUAAAACUUGCCUUUUUAAUUCCAAACGACCCCACCCCUAAUCAUUUCAACCCACCCCGCCGCCCUAAGGUCCUCUCUACUCUCAAAACACUCUCAACCUAACCCUAAUCUUCCAACUCCAAUUUUCCAUCUCCAGCUAUCUCCGGUGACCUCUCAUCGUCUCUUACACCUCCAAUGGCUUCUCUCAUGCCAUUAUCGCCUUCUCUAAGGUCCUCAAGGGCCCAGGGCCAUGCCGACUUGCAUCUAGGGUUAAUCUCCUGCCUGUUCCUAUCUAUUCCAGUGUGAUUCCAACUAGAAUCAUUCUAUGUUUUCUACGAUCCUUGGGAUUCUAGACAGGUUUCUUCAUAUCUAUAUGGGUUUCUUUCGAAACCCUAAUUUCUUUUCUACACACCUCCUAGAUCUACACAGAUCUAGGACGAUUUGAGUUUGUUUCUUGAAUGUUUUACACUAUCCUUGAGUUUCUUUACAAGAAUCAUGUGAUUUCAAGUGUUUUUCAUCUUCUUCUAAAAAUAGGGUUUUUGGAACUUCUUUAUAAAACCUUGUCUAACUGAUUUUUUGUGUUUAAACUUCUAUUACUCUGGUCAAAAUUGUGAAUGCAUCAUAGUCAAACCUAGUCGGAUCAAUAUGAUGUCCACAUAAUGAUCCUUUAAGAUAAUCCUUAUCCAAAAGCACAUCGGAUUUUCCAUAAUCCCAACUGACACAACCAUGUGGAACCAUCCUCCUUUCUCACAAACAAAACAGGUGCUCCCCACGGUGACGCACUAGAUCUGAUAAAACCUUUUUCAAGCAAGCCCCUUAGUUGUUACUUUAACUCGUUCAGCUUUGCGGGGGCCAUUCUAUAAUGGGGAAUAAAUAUUGGAUGAAUAUCUUAUAGUAGUAGGUCAAUGACAAGCUCAAUUUCUCGCUCUGGCGGAAGACUCGAAAGUUCAUCGGGAAAAACAUCGGAAAACUCAAUAACUACAGGAAAGAACUGAAUGGUUGGUAACUCUACAAACCCAAACUCAGUGAUAAAUAUAGUCCUUUCUGAUUAUCUUUCUUGCCUUGAGAUAGGAGAUAAAUUUACCUCUUGUCAAUACGGUAUUACUUUUCCAUUCCAAAACAGGCUCUCCUGGAAAUUGAAAUCAAACCAUCUUUGAUCCACACUUGAUGUUAGCAUAACAAAAGGCCAAUCAAUCCAUACCUAUUAUGAUAUCAAGUCCUACCCAACCGAACACCACGUAUCUUAUCCUUGUUUAUUAUCAAACCUAGUACGGGCCAUUUCAGGCCACAUCCAUAUAUAUAGGUAACAAUAUUAAAACAUAAUUGCAUAACUAAUUUACAAAAAGGUUUAUAUACAUAGGGGUCGACUAGGCCGUAGACAUAUCAUACCCAAAACUAUAUACAUGAUAAUGUCUGCAAAACCUCUAAGUAGGCAUAAUCAUAAUAUAUACAAGUCGGGACGAGGCUCCCUACGUCCUCAUAAAACAACCUAACACAUUUAGAACCCUGACUUGUCAAUAUUCCAAGAAGAUGUGGAACUCAUCAACCAAAAACUGACACUUGGAGGAAGUCUAAAGUAUAGGGUCCUUGCCUCGUCCUAUAUAAAAACCUCGAUCAGACACACUUCGAAGCGGAAUCUUCAUAUCCUUAUCGGUUACCUUCCUCCUCUUGGCCCGACUACUAUCCUCUUCCUAUGCAUAUCCUAUAACAUACACUGGCGAACCUUGAUUGAUGGACUCCCAAGACUAUGGACUAUCUUGAACCUCAGAAGAGCUGGUGUCCGCAAAUGCCUUGACAUAGUUUUGAGCCUGAGGGAAACCCGGUUGUGCCAAUCCAUGCACUACUCCCCUCAUAGCCUUAUCAAUGGGCUGUGAUAAUGAAACUAAGGGCCUUGGCGAGGUUGGAACUCCUCUCACCCCAUCUGCUGCCGGAGUGGUGGAAACAGCUCGAACGGAUGACUCAUAUGGACCCUCAGAUGGAUCCUCCUCAAUAGAAACCAUGAAGUAUAACUUAUAUCUCUUUCUAACACCUUCGUAGCCUUCUGACCCAUGCUAGCAGCUGUAGUCUUCGAAGGCAUCGCUAAAAACGUAACACAUCGCUAGGAACAUGAAUGCUUAUAUCGCACGAUCUAAGAUAAAAAGAGAGGAUAGCAUCUUAUAUGUCCGGUAGCCUCCUAUCUAUAAGUGUGGUGCACAACACACCUAUAAGAAAAACUCUACUAGACACAGUCUGUAGACAACCCUAGGACAGAACUGCUCUGAUACCACUUUUGUCACGACCCAAACCGAUGGGCUGCGACAGGUGCCUGAGUCUUACCUGUCAAACACCCCUAAGCAUGCAUCUAAGACAUGAACCCGAAUAACAUCUACUGAAUUAUGAAAAUAACAUACAUGAAAGAAACCUGCCUACAAGGCAUAUGUACGUAUACAUGCAAAAUACAGUGGGCGAGCCGGUAAUGCUGCUAUAGACAACUAUACAUCCAGAACUAAAAGCCGACAAGGCCACAUACAACCCAACAAGACAUGCUGACAAUAGACCUCCAAUAGAAACCUAACUAUACAAAGAUAGGACUAAGCCAUGUCAUACACAUAUACAUAUAUAAACAUAUCAUAACAAAAUAAAAAGCAGCUCCGGAUCAAGUGGAGCACGCCAACUCUCGCUGAUCAGGGAUCCUAAGAAGAGGGACCGUCAGCUUGCCUACCUGCACCUGCGAGCAUGAAAUGCAGGCCCCGUGAAAUAGGGCAUCAGUACAAAAAAUGUACUGAGUAUUUAAGGCAUGAAAAUUAUUACGUAAAAGAUUGACGAAAAAUAGAAUAAAGAAACACAUUUUGAAAUUUGAAUAACUUUGUAAAUUCUGAAACGUUUAUAAUGUCAUGCAUGUGCAUAUAAAUGUCGUGUCAUGCAUAGGUAUGAGUGUACAUAAUAUUAUCAAUCCACUGAGGGCAUCCCAUCAUAUCGUCUCGACCACUGUGGGCAACAUCAUCAACAUAUACCAGCUGAUCAGAUGGUGGUGCAUAUAUAAUACCGUAACCUUUUUCCAUAUUCCAUAUACAUAUAUUUAAAUAUAUACGCGUAUAUAACGUCAUCUGGUCAUGGGUAAAUGCAUAUGUAUAAAUGGGUGAAAUGCAUGAAAAAUACGUAAUAAUAUCAAUAAUCCUUCCGAAUAAACUUUUUCAACUACGUAUUAUUCUGAGACCCAUGAACAGAAGAUAAUAAUAAUUUUCAUGGGGAAUCAAGAAUAUAGACACCCCAAAUAUUUUUAUGAAUAGAGUAAUUUGUGGAAACUAUGCGUUUGCUCGUUUCUUCGUUAUAAUUUGGACCAUGCGAAAACAAAGAAGGGAUGGCCUUAACAUACUUGGAGUAGGAAAAACUCCGUAUAAUAUUCCUGGCGAAGACUGCACCAUACUCUUUUAGAAGCUUGAAAUUUGCUUCAACAGAAUUUAGCUACGGACCAUGUGAAAUUAUCUUUUGAUUCCUUAGAAUCUCGAACGAAAUUUGCUUCAAACUUUGCUUCUGUUCUAACGCUUUGUGAACCCAAGAUGGAAUGGAUUCAAUCUAAAUGUCAAACUUUAUUCCAACGUUUUGUUGAAGUUUCUUUUGUUUCUAGCUUUUGAAUGGAAUUGAAUACUAAAUUGUUAUAUCACAUUUAUAGGUUGUUCAGAUUCCUACAAUGAGAUAAAGACUUAGAAGUCUUAUCUUGAUAAAGUUAAGCUUUAUUUAUUUCUUAGGUGUAGACACCUAUUCACAAUUUGUUUUGAGACAUCUUUUAAAUUGGUGGACUUGUACCACAUGGAGAGUGGGAUAAAGAUUAGUAAUCUUUACCCACUUAUUAGUUAACUGGGUAAUGUCCCGUUAUCCGGUAAUUAACCAACUACCCGCAUAAUUUAAAAAUUACCCCAAAUUACUUAGAAUUCUAAUUAUUAUUAUUAUUUUAUUAUUAUACGUUAUAUAUACUUUAUACAUUGUAUUACCAUGGUCAUAUGGUACCUUGCAUGGUACUAGUUCAUAAUUAUCGGGUAUUAUUGCUCGACCCGUAUUUUUUCCCAAAUUGGCCACUUUUAAUGAAACUCGCUUUCUUUAAUUCGUGUACCCUUUAUCCUUCAUGACACUUCUUUAUCGCUUGUUAUAAAUAGCGUAAAUACGUUAACAUCAAGAUGAUCUCAUACCCAAGUCUACGUUAAUUAACUGAAGACCAUACUUUUAACGUACGAAAACACGAGAUGUAACAGCGGGUGUUAUAGAUUUUGACGUAUAAAUUUCUAAGGCCCUUGAGUUGGAGUUAGCGGCACAAAGAGGUCUUCCGACCAGGCCUGAUUCUACCGAUUCUUCUGGUUCUAAUUCUGAGUUCUCGGGAACUUGAGAGGAACCGGAAGGUGAUGAUGUUGAGGGCCAAAAUGAUGAAGGCCAAGAUAUCGAACCGGCGACGGAUCUACCCACUUCCUUUGGGGGCGCAUACGCUUCUCUUCCUCCAGGUUCCGGAGAUGCAACAACUUAGCUUUUUAUUUAUUUUCCUAACUUUUGUACCUGUGUAGUUUUGGCACUUUUAUUGUGAAUAAAAAUAUCUUUUGCUCAAGUAUUACAUGAAUCUUUCUGCGUUCUUUUGUUUGAACAUUUAUGCAAGUUUUCAUUUUUGCGUUCUUUCUCGCUUUAGUGUUUUGCGCAAGUUUUCUUUUUGCGUCUUUUAUCGUUUAAGUAUUUGCGCGAGUUUGCUUUUUGCAUUUUUUGUGCAAGGAUUUAGUUGUAUUUUUCCUCGAAGGCAUUUGAUUUCGGAGAUAAGUUCUUCUGAAAUUAACCCUUUAACCUAUGAGUUUUCAUAAGAGAGGGCCAUCUUAUAUUUAUGGUACUCUUGCAGAGGACGUCUCUUGUUCAUUACAGAACUAGCAUUUGAAGUACUUAUUUAACUUUUAAAUGACAAAAUCAGUUCAUCAUUCAGACAACAAACAAGAUAUAAAUAAAAGGGCUUUACUUUAUUUCUUCCAGUUUCAAAAAGUACAUAAACAUUCAUUAUGCUAAAAAGAAAUUGACAUUUCUUAUGGCUUAUUUGUGCAUAUUGUUUCUACGAGGCAUGUCGCAAAGUCCCCAGUCCCGAUGAUACAAUUAUGUUUCCAAUUUUCAUAUUCUGUUCACUGUGGAAAUCAUUAUUGCCAUAUCCUCAUAUCAUUCUCCCCCUAGUGUUCGAAUGCGAAGAAUGUGAACUUGAACACUGGAAGUUUUGCCUUUUUGAGGAUUCUACUAAUGAAUUGCCAGAUGCCCUUCAGUUCGGUAACAAACUUCACUUCCCCUUAGGAAUUUAUGCUAUUGAGCCAAAGACUAUCUAACAAUACCUUAGUGGUUUGCACUUGCAAAUGGUCGGGUAACCUUUAUUCGAUAGCAAACUUAACUUCCAGUAGGAAUUUUGUUAGCGAGCCAAAGGUUACCUAACCGCUCCAGAGUGGAUCUUUGCUUGUGUGGCUUGCUAUUAAAUGCCUUAUUGUUACUAUUGAUACCUUCUUCGUAGUAUGCUUGCAGUUGUUUCCUUGUUCAAAAUCUAGCAAGAAAAAUCCAGUUAGGACAAAACUGGACGAAGGGAAAAAGAGUACAGUACAUAACUUUCAGUACUUGUGAUGUUUAUUAUCAAUAAUAUCUCUUAAGGUGUGCCACAUUCCAGUUGCUUGGAAACUUUUUUCCAUCCUAAUUCUCCAACUCGUAUGAACCUUUCCCGGUGACAGCUGAAACCCGGUAGGGGCCUUCCCAGGUUUGACCUAGCUUUCCUGCGUUGAGUUUCGGGUUUUUUGGGUUACUUUACUUAAAACCAAGUCUCCCACUUUGAAAUAACGGAGGUUGGAUCUUCUAUUAUAAUAUCUCUCUAUUCUCAACUUUUGGGUUGUCAUUCUUAUAUGCGUCAAGUUCGUUCGCUCAUCGAGUAGCUCCAAGUUGACUAACAUCACCUCGUUGUUUGUCUCUUCACUUGCUUGGAAAUAUCUCAAGGUAGGCUCUCCUACUUCCACCGGGAUUAAGGCUUCUGCUCCGUAUACAAGGGAGAAAGGAGUUUCUCCUAUGCUUGAUUUGGCCAUUGUUUGGUACGUCCAUAGCAAUCCAGGAAGUUCCUUAGGUCAUGUACCUUUAGCCGCUUCCAACCUCUUCUUGAGAUUUUGUAUAAUCAUUUUGUUCAUUGAUUCCGCUUGACCAUUUGCGCUCGGAUGAUAGGGCAAAGAUGUGAUUAUUUUGACUUUCAAGUCUUCAAGGAACUUUGUGAUCUUUGCGCCUAUCAAAUGUGGCUCGUUAUCGCAGGCUAUCUCUUUUGGUUUUCCAAAUCUGCAAAUUAUUUUUUCCCACAAGAAAUCCACUACCUCAUGUUCGCCGAUCUUUUGAUAAGGACCUACUUCAACCCACUUAGAAAAAUAGUCUGUUAAAAUUAAAAUAAAAUCUUACCUUACCAGGGGCCGACGGUAGUGGUCCGGCGAUGUCCAUUCCUCACUUCAUGAACGACCAUGGAGAUAGAAUUGAGUGUAAUGGUUUUGCUGGUUGAUGUACUAGCGGAGCGUAACAUUGACACUUAUUGCAUUUUUGCACGAAAACUUUGGCGUCUUGUUCUAUUCGGGGUCAAUAGUGUCCUGCCCUUACCAGUUUUAGUACUAAGGAGUCCACACCUGAAUGAUUUCCACAUAUCCUUUCGUGGACUUCUCGUAUAACAUAAUUAGCUUCAGAGGCUCCCAAGCAUAGGACCAACAAGCCUUGGAAAGAUUUCCUUACAGUUGACCUCUUUUGAAGUUAUAUCGUGUUGCUUUGGUGCAUAGCGCCCGUAAUGCCUUGGAGUCUUCGGGCAACUUCCCGUGUUCGAGUUAAUCAAUGAUCUCAUUCCUCAAGUCCCAGAUCAAUUUAGUCGUAUUCACCUCAUAGUAGCUAUCUGCAUCCAAAAUCGAGUGCAUGAGCUGUACUACCGUCCCAAAAUCUGAUCCCUUCAUUUCCGUUGAUUAACCGAGUUUAGAGUGCAUCUACUUCUGUAUUUUCUUCCCUCGGGAUAUGCAUAAUUUACCACUCUCAGGAUCGAGCAAGUAGAGUUCAAACCUUCACUACGUAUUGAUGCAUGCUCUCCUCUUUGGUUUUGAGAAUCCCGUAGACCUGAUUUACCACUAGCUGGGAGUCACAUUUGAUUUCUAUGACCCCGGAAUCUAGUCUCCGGGCCAAUUUGAGUCCUACAAUCAAAGCUUCAUACUUUGCUUCAUUGUUAGUCAAAGGAUCCAUUCUUAUGGCUUUCCUUAGGGUUUCUCCCGAAGGCGUGGUUAACAUUAUGCCAAGACCCGACCCCUUUACAUUGGAAGCUCCAUCCGUAAAUAAGGUCCAAAUUUCUGAUGUCAAUUCUGACACUUUCACUACUUCUUUGGUUGCUAGAGGCAGCAAUCCCUGACUGAAAUCAGCCACGAAGUCGGCCAAAACCUACGACUUAAUGGUAGUCUUAGGUUUAUGCUCUAUGUCGAAUUCACUCAUUUAGACGACCCAUUUGGAUAAUCUACCUGAGAGUUCGGGUUUGUGAAGGAUAUUCCGCAGGGGAAAGGUAGUCACCACAUCUAUCAGGUGACACUAAAUAUAAGGCCUCAGCUUCCAAGCGGCGACUACGAGAGCUAAGGUCAACUUUUCCAAAUGCGGGUAGCAAGUUUUUGCUCCCGUUAAAAUUCUACUAACGUAAUAAAUGGGAGAUUGCUUACUAAAAUGGCGCUUAUCGCUACCUUUGAGACCACUAGGCAGAUUAACAAUGUUUCCCCUUCCUCCUGCUUUGAUAGUAUUGGAGGGCUUGGCAAAUACCUCUUCAAAUCCCUCAAAGCAAUUACUAGGUGAAAACCCCUCUAAAAAAGCUCCAAAAUCACCCAAAAUAUAAGAGAAAUGGGUUAUAAAUGGCUUAAAUCCCUUAAUAAAAUGAAGCCUUCUGCCUCCAGGACUUCCGCAUCUGCGGUCAUUGCGCCGCAUCUGUGGGACAAGGUCCGCUUAUGCGGAAUUCCUCAGGUGCAACACUGGCCGCUUAUGUAGACGGGAUCCCGCUUCUGCACACGUUUCUCCACUUCUGCGGACCACUGGCCAAAUGCCCCAAAGCCGCUUCUGUAGCCACAAGCUCGCAUCGGCGGGCUCGUAGGUGCGGGCACACCAGAACUGGUGCACUAGCAGCCCCCUUGAGUUCUAAUUCGAUCUGUGCAUUAUCUGGAUUGCACCAGAGGCCUCCCGAGGCCUCAUCAAACAUACCAACAAGUUCGUAAAUAUGAGACGGGCUUGAUCAAACCCUUGGAACGUGGAUAACAACACCAAAACUAAGAAUCACACCCCAAACCAAAUAGAAUCAACUUAUGAACUUCAAGUUUUUCCAACUCGCUUCGAGCGCGCUGAAUCAUACUUAAACUACUCGAAAUGACUCCCAUUUUUGCGUGCAAGUCUUAAAUUACCAUACAGAACUAUCCCCAGGCUCGGAAUCCCAAAAGAACCUCGAUAACACCAAAACCUACUCCAAACAAAAUUUAAAGAACUUUAAAACCUUUAAUGAGCCAACUUUCACUAUUAAGCGUCGAAACGCUCCCGGGUCAUCCAAAAUAUGAUCUGAACAUACGGCCAAGUCCAAAAUCAUCAUACAAACCUAUUAGAGCCAUCGAAUCCCGAUUUCGAGAUUGUUUACUAAAAAUGUUGACUCAAGUCAAACUUAGCUCUUUUUGGCAAGUAUUAAGGAACCUAGUGUUCCGAUUUCAAUCCGAACCCUUCCAAGCCCGAAUUAACCAUCCCUACAAGUCAUAAAAUAGUAAAAGCACAUACGGGGAAUCUUAUUUAGGGGAACAUGGAUCUAGAAAGCAAAAUAAUCGGUCGGGUCAUUACACUCCCGAGUUAGAAUCUUAUCAGGUGCCAAGAUAUUUCCUGGUACCAGAAGAGACAGACUCAACGAAAUCCACAGCGGAAGAGCUUGAGCAAGUCGCAUUGUUAGAAAAGUUCUUGGAGAGGAAACUCCACUUGGGGACAUGAUUGCAUUCUGAGCUGUUUGAUAACAAGAUGUUUGAAAAACUUAUAAGGAAAACCGUGGAAGUUUAUAUAGGCGAUAUGCUUGUAAAGUCUUUGAACGUGGGUGAUCAUCUUAAGCAUUUACAAGAAACUUUUUACAUCUUAAAGGAGCAUAACAUGAAGCUUAACACCAAGAAAUGCGCGUUCGGGGUCAGCUCUGGCAAGUUCCUAGGAUUUUUGGUAUCACAAAGGGGGAUUGAGGUAAACCCUGACAAAAUCAAAGCCAUCCCAGACAAGCUAUCAAGCGUGAAAGAAGUUCAAAGGCUCACAAGGAGAUUGGUGGCUUUGACCAGGUUUAUUUCACGGCCAUCAGGGAAAUGCCACCGUUUCUUCACACUACUAAAAAGGAAAAAUAACUUUGAAUGGACCCCGAAAUGCCAGCAGGUGGGAGAAUAUUUCUGUAGAGGUUGACCAACUUAAAGAAGAACUUCAGCCUCUAGAGGCUUCCCUCAUUUUCAUGUAUAGUACGAGGAGAAAAACCUUGGAAAGGGCCAAAGCGGGUGUCACAACCCCAACCGAUGGGCCGCGACGGGUGCCCGAGUCUUACUUGUCAAACGCCCCUAAGCAUGCAUCUAAGAUAUGAACCUGAAUAACAUCUAUUGAAUUACGAAAAUAGCAUACAUGAAAGAAACCUUCCUACAAGGAAUAUGUACGUAUACAGGAAGAAUACAGUGGGCGAGCCGGCAAGGCUGCUAUAGACAACUAUACAUCCAGAACUGAAAGCCGACAAGGACACAUACAACCCAACUAGACAUACUGUCUAAAGACCUUAAAUAGAAACAUAACUGUACAAAGACAGGACUGAGCCACACCAUACCCAUAUACAUAUAUAAACAUAUCAUACCAAAAUCAAAANNNNNNNNNNNNNNNNNNNNNNNNNNNNNNNNNNNNNNNNNNNNNNNNNNNNNNNNNNNNNNNNNNNNNNNNNNNNNNNNNNNNNNNNNNNNNNNNNNNNNNNNNNNNNNNNNNNNNNNNNNNNNNNNNNNNNNNNNNNNNNNNNNNNNNNNNNNNNNNNNNNNNNNNNNNNNNNNNNNNNNNNNNNNNNNNNNNNNNNNNNNNNNNNNNNNNNNNNNNNNNNNNNNNNNNNNNNNNNNNNNNNNNNNNNNNNNNNNNNNNNNNNNNNNNNNNNNNNNNNNNNNNNNNNNNNNNNNNNNNNNNNNNNNNNNNNNNNNNNNNNNNNNNNNNNNNNNNNNNNNNNNNNNNNNNNNNNNNNNNNNNNNNNNNNNNNNNNNNNNNNNNNNNNNNNNNNNNNNNNNNNNNNNNNNNNNNNNNNNNNNNNNNNNNNNNNNNNNNNNNNNNNNNNNNNNNNNNNNNNNNNNNNNNNNNNNNNNNNNNNNNNNNNNNNNNNAGUACGAAAAAUGUACUGAGUGUGUAAUGCAUGAAAAUUAGUAUAUAAAAGACAUAGACGAAAAAUGGAAUAAAGAAACACAUCUUUUAAAUCUGAAUAACUUUGUAAAUUUUUAAAACAUUUUAUAAUGUCAUGCACGUGACAUAUAAAUGUCGUGUCAUGCAUAGGUAUAAUUGUACAUAAUAUCAUCAAGCCACUGAGGGCAUUCCAUAAUAUCGCCUCAGCCACUGAGGGCAUUCCAUAAUAUCGCCUCAGCCACUGUGGGCAACAUCAUCAACAUAUACCAGCUGAUCAGGUGGUGGUGCGUAUAUAACGCCGUAAUCUUUUCCCACAUCCCAUAUACAUAUAUUUACAUAUAUACGCAUAUAUAACUCCAUAUGGUCAUGGGUAAAUGCACAUGUUUAAAUGGGUGAAAUGCAUGAAAAAUACGUAAUAAUUUCAAUAUUGCUUCCCGAUAAACUUUUUCAACUGCGUAUUAUUCUGAGACCCAUGAACAGAAGAUAAUAAUAAUUUUCAUGGGGAAUCAAGAAUAUAGCCACCCCUAAUAUUUCUAUAAAAAGAAUAAUUUAUGAAAAUUAUGUGUUUGCUCAUUUCUUAGGUAUAAUUUGGAUCAUGCCAAAAGAAAGAAGGGAUGACCUUAACAUACGUGGAGUAGGAAAAACUCCGUAUAAUAUUCCUGGCGAAGACUGCACCGUACUCUUUUAGAAGCUUGAAAUUUGCUUCAACAUAAUUUAGCUACGGACCAUGCGAAAUUAUCUUUUGAUUCCUUAGAAUCUCGAACGAAAUUUGCUUCGAACUUUGCUUCUAUUCUAACGCUUUGUGAACCCAAGAUGGAAUGGAUUCAAUCUAAAUGUCAAACUUUAUUCCAACAUUUUGUUGAAGUUGCUUCUGUUUCUAGCUUUUGAAUGGAAUUGAAUACUAAAUUGUUAUAUCACAUUUAUGGGUUGUUCAAAUUCCUACAAUGAGAUAAAGACUUAGAAGUCUUAUUUUGAUAAAGUUAAGCUUUAUUUAUUUCUUAGGGGUAGACACCUAUUCACAAUUUGUUAUGAGUCAUCUUUUAAAUUGGUGGCCUUAUGCAACGUGGAGAGUAGGGUGAAGAUUAGUAAUAUUUACCCACUUACUAGUUAACUGGGUAAUAUCCUGUUACCCGGUAAUUAACCAAUUACCCGCAUAAUUUAAAAAUUAUCCCAAAUUACUUAAGAUUCUACUUAUUACUAUUUUAUUAUUAUACUUUAUAUAUACUUUUGCAUUAUAUUACCGUGUUUAUAUGGUACCUUAUAUGGUACUAGUUCAUAAUUAUCGGGUAUUGCCCGACCCAUAUUUUAUCCCAAAUUGGCCACUUUCAAUGAAACUCGCUUUCUUUAAUUCGUGUACCCAUUAUCCUUCAUGACACUUCUUUAUCACUUGUUAUAAAUAGCGUAAAUACAUUAAUGUCAAGAUGAUCUCAUCCCCGAGUCCACUUCAAUUAACUAAAGACCAAACUUGUAACGUACGAAAACGCGAGAUGUAACAUCUUUCCCCCCUUAGAAACAUUCGUCCUCGAAUGUUCAACUCCCCGUGAUCUAUAUAAAUUUGGCAGGAUCGCCUUUAUAACAACACCACUACCACCGUAGAAGCUUAAUAACCCAACACCACACAGAACCAUAAUUAUGAAUAACGACAAUGGCCUUAUAUGGCCAACGACAAUAACCAAUAUAAGAAUUUAUACACGUACCUUAUGGUUAUGAUGUCUCAGUUAGAACCUUCUCUGGAGGAGAAAAUAAGUAGGGAUAUUUAGACUUCAUGUCUUUCUCGGCCUCCCAAGUCAUUUCUUCCACCUUGUUGUUCCUCCAAAGUAUUUUCACGGAGGCUACCUCCUUAUUCCGCAGCUUGCGGAUUUGUCGGUCUAAGAUGGAAACCAAAAUUUCCUCGUAUGACUGAUUUCAGGUACCGGGACUAGUGAGCUGUAAUUUUCCGAGAUUCGGUACUUCAUGGAAAUUGUUGGAUAAGACCUGAUGUGAAUACUGUCGUAGGACCUGAGUUAUUGCUUACCUUUAAUGUAUUGUGAAUUUAGGAUUUGGGUUUGUGUUUUCGCUCGCCCUUCUAUGUCAUUAUUUUGGUAUUUUCGAUGUUACUUGCUGUAUUCUCCCCUUAUUGUGAUUGUAGUAUUGUUAGCCAUUUUGUGUAGUCUUUAUAUAUACAUCAUGUUCCAUUGUUCCUAUAUUUGUACAGUUUAUUGGACCGGUAGGUGUCUUGAUUGUUCCUCGCCACUACUCCAGCGAGGUUAGUCUUGAUACUUACUAGGCACCGUUGUGGUAUGCUCAUGCUACACUUCUGCACAUUUUUGUUAUGCAGAUCCAGGUACUUCCACUCAACCUUAUCAUCCUUGAGGCGAGGUGCUUCUAUAGAGACUUCGAGGUAUAUCUGCCGCGUCCACAGACCAAGGAGUCCCUUUCUAUCUUUCUGUAAUAGUAUAGCCCUUCAGUAGUUUUCCUUUUUGUUAGACAUUCCUGGAGUUGGAGCUUUUUAUGUAUCUCUUAGCUUGUGAUUCAUGGGGUUCCGGAUUUUGGGAGUGUUAGGUUGAGACUUUGUACUGUUAUGUGCCAGGCGGCAUCUUAAACACUAUUUUAUUUUACUAUUUCGGUUUUUAAAUUAUUUCUUCUGCAAUUGUUGUUUAUAUUCCUCCUUGUUAGGAUUACCUAGUCGUAGAGACUAGGUGCCGUCAUGAUGGUUCACGAAGGGUGAACGGGGGUCGUGACAAGUUGGUAUCAGAGCUCUAGGUUUAUAGGAGUCAUGAAUUACAAGCCGGUUUAUUAGAGUCUCGUGGAUCGGUACAAAGACGUUUGUACUUAUCUGCGAGAGGCUAUGUAACUGUUAGGAAAAUUCCACUUCAUUUGAUUUCCUUGUCGUGUGAAAUUUUGAUGUCACAAUUCUAAACUUCUGUCUUCUAUUCUCUCACAGAUGGUGAGGACACGUACUAACCGAGAUGAUAGGGCACCCGUGCCCCCUACUAAAGUCGUCAGAGAUCGGGGCUGGGGUAGAGGCCGAGGACGUGCACGUAGUGCAGCCAGAGCACCCGCACGAGCUGCCACUGAGGUACCACCAGCAGUUCCAGCUGGAGUCCAGGCACCUGAUACGCCUACUGCUACUACUACUCCAGCUCUUCAGGAGACUCUUGCGCAAUUCAUGAGCAUGUACACCACUUUGGCUCAGGCAGGGUUGCUUCCCCUUGCUGAAGCCACAUCUUAGGCCGGGGGAGGAGCACAGACUCCCGCAGUCCGCACUCCUGAGCAGCGAGUGCAUGUUGACCAGGUCCUAGAGAUUAUUCAUGUACAGAUUGUAGUCCCAGGUCAGCCCGAGGACAAGGCAGCGGCUUCAGAGGAUGAGAAGCGGAGACUUGAGAGGUUCAAGAAGUACGAUCCUCCUGUAUUCAGUGGGUUGGCAUCAGAUGAUGCCUUGGGAUUUCUAGAGGAGUGUCACCAUAUCCUCUACACUAUGGGUAUAUAAGGAUUGAGUGGGGUUUCUUUUGUCGUCCAGCUUCGGGAUGAGGCAGCUUCACUGACUUGGACCCAAUUUUCAGAUAUGUUCCUGAGAGAGUUUGUUCCUCAGAGCCUCAGGGAUGCAUGGCGGGCAGAGUUUGAGCAUUUGUGCCAGGGUACUAUGACUGUCUCGGAGUAUACUGUCCGUUACACUAGCUUGGCUAGGCAUGCCCCAGCCUUGGUUUCUACUGUUCGCGAGAGGGUUCGCCGGUUUAUUGAGGGGCUUAUUCCCAGCAUCAGGUCUAGCAUGGCUCGUGAGUUGGAAAUGGAUAUUUCUUAUCAGCAGGUGGUGAGAAUUGCUAGGAGGAUAGAGGGUAUACAUGCUAGGGAGAGAGAGGACAGGCGGGGCCAUGAGAGAGAGGGAAAAUGAGAUCAGGAGAGAGAGUUUGAGGAGGCGAGGAGGCCUCGUAGACCGGGGAGAUCUGGUGGUCCUUAUUUUGGAGGCAAGGUGCGACAUGGUAGAGGUUUUGUGGGUCAGCCAGUUCAGUUCGCACUUCUGGCUUUGCAUAGUGACUCAGGUGUUCAUGGGUCUCGGGGUAACCGUACCGCACAGUUCCCACAGCCUCAUCAGCAAAUAUGGCAGGUCAACAUUGUACUACACGAUCGCGGCUAUGCCUAUGUGAUUGCAUAGAAGGAAACACCAGAUAGUAGAACAACAGUUCAAACAUAGGGAAAAAUGACCUGUGGCCCACUCAGAACACACCCAAGGCCCCCGAAACCUCGUUUAAACAAAUAAACAAGUCACAUAACCUAACACGGACUCGCUCGAGGUCUCAAAUCACAUAAAACAAUAUCAAAACAAUGAAUCACACCAUGAAUCGAACUAUGAACUUCUAAAUCUUCCAAAUUCAAAAACUUGUGCCGAAACCGAUCAAAUCAACCCGGAAUGACACCAAAUUUUGCAGACAAGUCCAAAAUGACAUCACAAGCUUCUCUAACUCUCAGAGUUGCAUUCCAACCCUGAUAUCAAAAUUUCACUAUUGAUCCGAAAACUUCAAAAAUUCAUCUUUCGGCAUUUCAAGCCUAAAUAAGCUACGGACCUCCAAAACACAAUCCGAACACAUGCCUACGUCCAAAAUCACAAUACAAAGUUAUUGAGAUCACCCAAAACCCAUUCCGAGAUCGUUUACUCAAAAUCCCAACUCCGAUCAAAUUCUCACCGUUCAACUUCCAAAACUAGAUUCCUUCUUCCAAUUUGACUCUGAAUCAUCCAUUAACUGAAUUCAACCAUGCACGCAAGUCGAUACUCAUAUUAUGAAGCUGUUCUAGACCUUACGCCGCCGAACAGAGCUUAAUUUCUCAAAAUGAUUGGCUGGGUCGUUACAUCCUCCCCCUCUUAAAACCAACGUUCGUCCUCGAACGUGCCAAGAUUCGCCUCGAAUUCCUUAAGUCACUGAGUGCACACUUCCAACAUACACCCGCAGGUGAUCCCACGUCACCCCAAUCCACAUAAAUUUGACGACACCAUCUCAACUAAAAUUUAGCCUUUCUAGCAAUACUAAUAAGCCUUAGCACUAGAAUUCUCACCUUCCAUCCAUUUCCAAAAGACCUGAUUCUAAAUCCAUAUCCGGUAUCAGUCUCAACCAGCUGCAUCAAUUCAUACCAACGCCCAUAUAGUACAACCUUACAACAUGACACAUCACAUAUAGGCCCACAGUAAUAUUUUUUAUCACAAUAUCUGCUCGAAAUCAAAUUUAGCACCGGUUAUAAGCCUCAUAUUUAAUAGGAACCCGUAUCAAACCUCCACAACACUGGUGAUGAUACAAUAACCACCAAAGCCACAUAACUUAACACCCGAAUCACCAAAAAUCUCAGCUAAUACCAACGGGCACACACCCCACAAGCUAAAACUCAAGAAGCACAAAAUGAAAAUGACUGAAUAUGGAAAGGGUAACACAUAAGGGAACUAUCAAACAAGCCCGACAAGCACAAAUUUUCUAUCAACACUAAUCUACAAAACAAUAUAACAAGAAAGAAUUAAAACAUAUACAAGAAUAACAAGGAUCUUAUACUGAUAUAACUCUCACCGCGGUACACAUCCUGGUCUCAACACAUCAAAACACAUGAAAUCACGAGGGUCCCGCCCUCUACUCUGAAUCACAAGUAGGGUGUACAUCAAACCAGCUAAAACCUUUCACUAGAUCAGUUCCGUCAACAAGAUUACAACACGUAUUGGCUCCCAUACUGGUGGAGCAUAAAAAUCACAGCUCAUAGCCAAAAAUACUCAGAAAUCACAUCAAACCUACCGAAAUGGACAACAGGAAUUUACUACUAGUCUCAUAACUCCCGACAAUGGCUAGAAAUAGAUGAUAGACACGGCUAUCACUCAUAGAACCUCCCAAUAGGAUAAUCACAUAAACAGAGUGUUAAUCAUGAAACGCACCCAUAAAUGGAGCAACAAAUAGGGGAACUCACCCCAAUAAACAGAAUUGUAAUGAACUACGGAUGGUGCUCCUCUAUAACAAAUUAAAAUCAUACCUGAAUGACAUUCAGCUAGCGUAGCGGCCUUAAGCCUAUUAUAUGAAACACAUCAACGAGCUGGGCCUCCCCCUCUUGGGCGCCCUUUACCCGUCUAAAUACCUCGUUGUGACACAUCGGCACGAAGUCUAGGACAAUCUCUCACCAUGUGGCUAGUAUCUCCACACUCAAAGCAAUAAAUCUUGCCAUCCUUUCUUUGUCUUAAUUUUAGAACAGAAUUAGACUGAAAGGGAUUAAAAGAAAAGCAAAUAAUGAAAUGGACAAAUGAGCUUAGACGAGAGGUAUCCCUUGAGGGGAAAGAGAAUAAGGACUUAUCCGGAGUGCAUGCAGACUUCAAUGAUCAUGACAUGUCUCUUGGACUGGAUGUCUGAUCUGUGUAAACCGUCCAACUCUCAGAAAUUCAUCAUAACUUAUACCUCAAAAUUGAGAAACCUUGCAAGGACUCUAUCGAUGCCGAUGGCUGUGAGGGUCCCCUUUUCGAUCAGUGGCGCCCUUUGCGGGUUUUCACCAGCUGACCUCUCUCAUUUCUUUUCUUACCAUUGCCUUAUAAUGCUCUUUGCACGUUUUCACUAACAAGACUCUCUCAUUUUUAAUUUUCUGCUUACCAUCGCCUUACGGUGCCUAUGAGAUUUUUCACCGAUAAGACUCAUUUUGUUGUAUCAGAUUCAAAUAACUGUAUCCUCCCAUUUCGAGCCUCUUUGGCGAUUGAUUAGAAGGACUUGAACAGGGUUUUGGGGUAAAAAGCAUUUGGAUUGAAUUACAACUUUGGAACCCUUUGGGCAAAAUCAUCGCCGAACCAUUAUAACUUCUGCCCCAGUUUCAACUUUGGGGAAAUUUGGAUUUUUAUUUUGGUGUGACUGAACCCUAGAAAGAGGAUGCAUACAUAUCAUUUCGGAAUCAAGUCAGACGUAGUUCAAGGAACUUUGUUUUUCUUUUUUUUUACUUUUUCUUCUAUUUUGUUUUCUUUUCUCUUUCUUUUUCCUUUCAUUCUGCCUUUUUUUUAAAUUUUUCAUUUCAUUUUCUUUUUGUCUCUUUUUUUGGUUUCUUUUUUUUUUUUCAUAAUACUUUCAAGUUCCAAAAAGGGUAAUAAAAAAAGUAACCAGCUCAAAUGGUUUGUAAAGGGUUGAUAGCGUUUGGGUAGUGAGAAUAAAAGCCUUCUUCAUCCCAACUGGAGAAUAUUAAUGUUAUAUAAAGGAUCCAACAUAGUACCUUUUGACUGCACCUGCAUUGACAGUUGUUUCAGGGAAAUUUCCUUCAAUGUGUCCCAAGUAUAAUGCUCUCUUUUGGCAGUACUCGUGUUGGAAUGUAUGGAACUUUCUAAUCUGGAGCUAAUUUUCCUUUUAGUUGUUCUGGUUCUUUGUUUUGUUUCCCUAAACCUAUCUUCAUUGCAUUCUGAUUCUUGAUUCAUUAUUUCAAAGUCUGACAGCGUUUUAGGAUCUGGACAUGAAGUCUGUAAGCAUGUCAUGUUAUUAAAAUUUACAAUAACAGAACUGAAAAGGGAAUAAGAAAAGUGACAAGAUUAAGAAAAGAGAUAUUCCUGGCAAUGAAAUAUUAAUUUCAUCAUUUUUUUGGAUUUUGAUUUGAUCUUUUUUUAAUUUUAAAGAUAGAAGGGUUUACAUCGAAAAAUAAGACAAUAAAGUAAAACAUUCCGACGAAGAAAAGAUAGCAAGACUGGCUACCGAGACUCCCAUCUGCUGGGGAACUUGAGGCUUGGUGACCGUUUUUAGCUUUUCUUUUUCUCGGCAAUGGCUGCAAUGGCCUUCAGUGUCGGAUCAAAUUCCUCAUCUUCACCAACCAUACCGACUAUUGGCCCGGUGUUGUGAGCAGGCAACGGAUUGUUCAUCACAUUAGGAGCCUCUUCGUCCCGAAGAAUGAUUCUUUUAGUUUCAAUCAAGUCUUCAACUACCCUUUUGAGGGUCCAACAGCCCUCCGUACUAUGUCCCACUACUCUAGAGUGGUAUUCACAUCUAGUAUCAGCUCAAUGCGAGGGGUAUUCGGGGUUCGGCCGGUUCGGGGCCACUAGGUGCAACAGAUCUAGCCUGAUUAGCUUUUGGAACAAGCUUGAAUACGAUUUACCAAUAGAAGUGAACUGAUUCUUUCUGCAAGGCUCUCUUGGGUGAGGAUUGUAUUGGGGGACAUUUGGUUGGGGAUUAUAUGGAGCUUGGUAAGGAUGGGCAUUUCUGGGAGGUGGAUCUCGGUUUUGUGUAUAAUGAUGUGGCCGCGUGUGAGGUUGCACGUUCAUCACCGCAUAGGGAGGUGGUGUCACGGCAUAAGCAGCAUCUUGAAGGGGAUAAUAGUGUGGUGGGAUCUUAGAAAGCACAUAUGAUUGAUUGAAUGACCUGCGGGCUCCCUCAAGCUCAAAGCCAUCAUGGCUCCUUCUUAUUUACCAUUUCUGUUCAUCACACCCUCCGAACCAUUCUGAGAAGCCUGUGAUGUGGCCUCAAAAGCACCAUGACUCAAGAUUCGACCCGUUUUUAAACAGUUUUCAACCAUUUCCUGAAUUUUGAUAGCUUCAGCGAACAACUUACCCAUAGCAGACAUCAUGUUCUGGAAGUAUUUCUGCUUCGUCCAUUGGAGGCUUUACCUUAGCAGCUUGCUCAUGCCAUUUAGCAGCAUAUUUGCGGAAACUUUUUGUGGUUUUCUUUUACAAAUUGGACAAAUAGUUUCUGUCGGGAGCGAUGUCCCAAUUAUAUUAGAACUGUCAGACAAAAUCUCGGGCCAUAUCAUCCCACACAUGCCAAUGGGUAAUUUGUUGAUCCAUAUACCACUCAGAAGCGAUUCCAGUGAGGCUUUCUACAAAAUAGGCCAUUAGCAUCUCCUCUUUUCCACCAGCACCCCUCAGCUGGUUACAGUAUCGUUUUAGAGGAGCGAUCGGAUCUCUGUACCCAUCGUACUUUUUAAAUUUUGGCAUCUUGAAGCCAGUCGGCAAGUGAACAUGGGUAAACAUACAUAGGUCGGAGUAUGAGACACUCUUUUGACCACUUAGACCUUGCAUCUUUUUCAGACUUUGCUCCACACUCUUCAUCUUCCGAGCCAUUUCCUCUUGCUUGGGAUUCUUGACAACCUUUUCUUGCCCUACCGAAAAUUCACAUUGCAGAGGUUGAGUAAAAGAGUACGGGGUCACAUAUGUUAUUUUUGGUUGAAGUUGUGGACCCUAAAAGGUUAAAACCAGAGGCUCAACAUUAGACCGUGGUAUAGUUGGUUGUCCUAUAGUGCAGACUGGUGCUACAAAGAACAUUGGAGGUACCUUUGGGGACGGCGCUUAGGGGGGGGGGGGAACCACAGAAGGAAUUUUGGGACCGUUAAUGACAUUGGAGGGAACCCGCAUGAGGUAAACAGGUUGGACAUAGGGACGUUGGUAGUUCUACCUUAUCUCGGAAUCAACUCAUGGAACCCAAGGAUUGCUCUUGGUUGUUCCCUACCAGUAGACCAGGCAUCCCACAUUUUCAAUAUGCGGAGACACAAUAUCCUAUUCUCUUUAGCAGGUGCUGAUUUUGGUUAUGGAAUAGCCGGUGCUGGGCUAUCUUCGAGAUUGAUAAUUGGUAGAUGACUUUCGGAGGCCAUAUGAACCUUUCCUUUGGAUCUUGUGAAGUAAGGAUGGGAAGCCUGUCACGACCUCGGUUCGCCCUCCGUGAACAAUCGUGACUGCACCUAGUCCCUACGACUAGGUAAGCCUAAAUUGGAAAAAAUACACCAAUUUACGGAAGUAAAACAAUUUAAAACAGAAUUAGAGUAAUAAGACAGUGUUUAAAAGUGCCGCUCGGCAUACACAAUAUUUAACUCUCAGAAACCAAUACAUAUCUCCAAGACCCGAAAACCCAUGAAUCACAAGAUAAGGAUCACUACAUAGUGCUCUAACUCCAUAAUAGUCUAAAACCAAUGAAAUACAGAAGGGCGAUAACUAUGAGAGAGAGUGGAGAGAGACUCCUUGGUCUGCGGAUGUAGUAGGUAUACCUCGAAGUCUCCAAAUGAUCGCCUCACCUCAAGGAUGGUAAGCCUGAGUCAAGGUACCUGGAUGUUCACAUGAAAAACAUACGCAGAAAGGGCAUGAGUACACCACAGCAGUACUCAGUAAGUGCCAAGCCUAACCUCAGUCGGGUAGUGACGAGGAAGGUCAGGGCCCUACUGAGGUUAAAUAAAAUACAAAGUAUAACAAUGUAGAACAAGAUAGUAUAAUUAAGUGCAACAGUAAGAAAUAACAUAGAAUAAAAAUAGCAACAACAACUAGAACAGAGGCAAAAUAAUCACAGAAAGGAAAUACAACUCAACACAGAGAUAACAACCGGGGUACCUUCAAAGAUACCAUCCUGUAGUCCCAAUUAUAGCUAUCCAGUGGAUCUCCCGGGAUCCCGGCCCGUAGUCCAACAAUCAGUGCGCGAGGAUCUACUGGAAUCCUGAUCCGUAGUCCCAAAUAUAAAUACCAGUACUGGGGGAAUCUACCGGGUGAAGUCCCGUAGUUCCAUAUAACUAUGCAGGGGGAUCUACUAGAAUCCCACAUCCGUAGUCCCAAAUAAACAGACAAGGGGAAUCUACCGGAGUCCCACAUCUGUAAUCCCAAUGUAAAUACACAGCAGCAACAGGAAAUUAUUCAGAAAUGGCGAAUUUCAUAUUAAGGCAACAAGUAAUUCUAGCCUAGCAUGCUGCAUAGAAUAAAUGUAAGGCAGUUUUAGAAAAUAAAGCAAUUAAAUCACUUAGACAUGCUUUCCUAAGCUACGACAGGCUUAAUAAUGCGAGUAAUAAAAACAAGAAAAGAAACAUACUAGUAAUUACUUAAUGAAAACCGGAUUUUCAAUAAUUAGCACAAGUACGCACUCGUAUCCUCACGUACAAGGAAUUUCAAUUACCAAUUAUACCAAAUCCUAAGGUGAAAGGUCCCCCACACAAGGUUAGGUAAACCACUUACCUCGAACCGGCUCAAUAAUCAAUCUGAAACCAUGCUCUUGCCACGAGUACUCGACUCCAAAUUACCCAAAUUUAUUCAAUUUGAUUGCAAUAAAUAACACUUUAAGUAACUGAUUCUACAAAGAAAUUCUAAGCUAAUACGCAAAAUUAGGUAAAAUGACCAAAAAGCCCAUCGGGCCCAUAUCUCGAAAUUGGGUAAAAUUUACAUUUUCAGAAACCUCGUACUCUCACGAGUCUAUACAUAACAAGAACACUGAAAUCGAAGUUUAAUUGGCCCCUCAAAUACCCAUGUUAAGGUGUCUUAAUCUCAAGCCCUAAUUACCCAUUUUCCCCAAAUUUCUCACCACAUGUUAAGCUGUCUUAAUCUCAAGCCCUAAUUACCCAUUUUCCCCAACUUUCUCACCACCAAUUAGGUCCUUUAUCACAUAUAAACGAGUUAUGAAGUUAAAAAUGUUACUUCCAAGUGAUUCCCCUUGAAUCCCUCUUCAAUCCUCUUCAAAGAGCUCCAAAAUCGCUCAAAAUUGGUGGAAGAUAACCUCAAAAUGGUGGACCAAAUGACUAUUUAAACAUUCAUCCCAGGCAUCAAAUCCUUCUUCGCGAACACGGUCAACGCCUCGCGUUCGCAAAGCACAAAUUUACUUUGACUAAAAUUCCUUCAUCGCGAUCGCGACACAGCUCGCGAACGUGAAGGCUUAGCUCUGUACUCAACGCGAAUGUGACGUCCCCCCGCAAACGGGAAGGACAAAUCAACCUCAACCCAACCGCCCAACUUUCCUCUAUGCGAACGCAGUAUCACCUCGCGAAGGCGAUGCACAAGACCCCAGCCCCUUCGUGAACGGGGAGACUCCCUCGUGAACGCGAAGGCUAAAUCCUUAGCCUCACCUGCUAACCCUUCGCGAACGCGAGGGCCUACUCGUGAACAAGAGGGCCUACUCAGGAACGCGAAUGUCAUUUUUCUGCAACACCUAACAGUAGUUUUCUGCAGUUUUUCACAACUUGAAAUGGUCCGAUUGACCACCCGAAACAGACCCUAGGCCUCCGGGACCUCAACCAAACCUGCCAACUAAUCCUAAAACAUCGUUCAAACUAUUUCCAACCUUUGGAAUGCUCAAAACAACAUCGAAACACCUAUUUUUCAUCGGAUCCAAGCCUAAGAAUUCCAAAAACCCCUAAAAAUAUGCUUUCGAUCAAAAAGUCUAUCAAACCUCGUCUGAAUGACCUGAAAUUUUGCACACACGCCACAUUAAACACUAUGGAGCUACUCCAACUUCCAAAAUGCCAUUCCCACCCUCAGAUCAAAAUCUCACUAUCGAACCGAAAACUUCAAAAAUUCAACUUUCGGCAUUUCAAGCUUAAAUUAGAUACGGCCCUCCAAAACACAAUUCGAACACACCCCUAAGCCCAAAAUCACCUAACGAAGCUAACAGAACUAUCAGAUUUCCAUUCCGAGGCCAUCUUCACACUGUUAUGACAACAGUCAACUUUUCAACACUUAAGCUCUCAUUUAGGGACAAAGUAUCCCAAAACUCUCCAAAACUCAACCGAACAUCCCGGCAAAUCAAAAUAGCAGAAAUAAACUCGGGAAAAGUAGUUAAUAGAGGAUCGGGGCAUAAAUUCUUAAAUGACCGACCGGGUCGUCAUAUCCUCCUACACUUAAACAUUCGUUCGUCCUCGAACGAGCAUAAAGACAUACCUGAAGUAGUGAAAAGAUGAGGGUAACAGCUGCGCAUAUCCUGCUCAGUCUCCCAGGUCACCUCCUCGACCGGCUGACCCCGCCACUAAACCUUUACUGAUAAAAGGUUCUUUGACAUCGGCUUUCUAACCUUCCUGUCCAAUAUUGCCACUGGUUCCUCAAAAUAGGAUAGAUCCUUGUCCAACUAGACUGAACUAAAAUCCAACACGUGCGACGGAUCACUGUGAUACCUCCGGAGCAUCNNNNNNNNNNNNNNNNNNNNNNNNNACUCAACUCCUUUUUUUCCCAAAUCUCAUAACGCCCUUUAUAGGCGAAACCCGAAGCAGAACCCGCUCUCCAACCAUAUAGGAAAUAUCACGAACCUUCCGGUCCACGUAACUCUUCUGUCUGGACUGGGCUAUACGGAGUCUAUCCUGAAUCACUUUAACCUUCUCCAAGGCAUCCUGAACCAGGUCUGUGCCCAACAAUCUAGCCUCACCCGGCUUAAACCAACCCACCGGGGAUCUAUACCGCCUACCGUAUAAAGCCUCGUACGGUGCCAUUUGAAUGCUGGACUGAUAGCUGUUGUUGUAGGAAAACUCUGCCAAUGGCAAGAACUGAUACCAAGACCCUCCAAACUCAAUCACAUUCGUAUGGAGCAUAUCCUCAAGAAUCUAAAUAGUGCGCUCGGACUACCCGUCCCUCUAAGGGUGAAAUAUUGUACUCAACUCCACCUGAGUACCCAACUCAUGCUGAACGGCUCUCCAGAAUCGUGAUGUGAACUAAGUACCUCUAUCUAAAAUGAUGGAAAUUGGAAUACCAUGCAGACAAACAAUAUCCCAGAUAUAGAUCUUUGCCAAACGCUCCGAAGAAUAAGUAGUACACACAGGAAUAAAGUGAGCGGACUUGGUCAGUUGAUCCACAAUCACCCAAAUAGCAUCGAACUUUCCAAAGUCCGUGGGAGCCCAACUACAAAGUCCAUGGUGAUCCACUCCCACUUCCACUCCGGAAUCUCUAUCUGUUGAAGCAACCCACCUGGUCUCUGGUGCUCAUACUUCACCUGCUGACAAUUGAGGCACCGAGCUACAAAUCUAACUAUAUCUUUCUUCAUCCGUCUCCACCAGUAGUGCUGCCUCAAAUCCUGAUACAUCUUCGCGCCACCCGGAUGAAUAGAAUACCGCGAGCUAUGGGCCUCAUAUAGAAUCAACUCUCGAAGCCUAUCAAUAUUUGGUACACAAAUCCGACCUUCCAUCCUCAAUACCUCAUCAUCACCAAUAGUCACAUCUCUGGCAUCACCGUGCUGAACCUUGUCCUUGAGGGCAAGCAAAUGAGGGUCAUCAUACUGCCGCUCCCUGAUACGAUCAAAUAAGGAAGAUCGAGAAACCACGCAAGCUAGAACUCGACUAGGCUCCGAAAGAUCCAAUCUCACUAACUGGCUGGCUAAGGCCUGAACAUCCAUCGCCAUAGGCCUCUCCGAUGCUGGUAAAUAAUCCAAACUCACCAAACUCUCUGCUCGGUGACUCAAAGCAUCGGCCACCACAUUGGCUUUUCCGAAGUGAUACAAAAUAGUGAUGUCAUAGUCCUUCAGCAACUCUAACCACCUCCUCUGGUACAAAUUUAGAUCCUUUUGCUUGAACAAGUGCUGCAAGCUCUGAUGGUCAGUAUAAGUCUCACAAGGCACACUAUAUAAAUAAUGGUGCCAGAUCUUCAGGGCGUGAAUAUUGGCAGCUAACUCAAGGUCGUGAACAGGGUAUUUCUUCUCAUGUAUCUUCAACUAUCUAGACACGUAGGCAAUCACCCUACCGUCCUGCAUCAACACCGCUCCGAGGUCAAUCCUCGAGGCAUCACAAUAGACUAUAUAAGACCCCGAACCUGUAGGUAGUAUCAAAAUUGGGGUUGUGGUCAAAGCUGUCUUGAGCUUCUGAAAGUUCGCCUCACACUCCUCCAUCCACUGGAACGGAGCAACCUUCUAGGUCAACCUGGUCAUAGGGGCUACAAUCGAUGAAAACCGCUCCACAAAAUGUGUUAGUAACCCGCCAAGCCAAGGAAAUUGCAGAUCUCUGUAGCUAAGGAUGGUCUGGGCCAACUCUAUACGACCUCUAUCUUCUUCGAAUCAACAUGAAUACCCUCACUCGAUACCACGUGUCCUAAGAAUGCCACUGAAUCUAACCAAAACUCAGUGCGCAGGGAUCUAACAGAAUCCUGAUCCGUAGUUACAAAUAUAAAUACCCAGUACUGGGGGAAUCUACCGGGAGCAGUCCUGUAGUUCCAUAUAACUGUGCAGGGGGAUCUACCGGAAUCCCUCAUCUGUAGCCCCAAAUGAACAGACAAGGGGGAUCUACCGGAAUCCCACAUCCUUAGUUCCAAAUAAACAAACAAAGAGAAUCUACCAGAGUCCCAUAUCUGCAGUCCCAAUGUAAAUACACAACAACAACAGGAAAAUAUUCAGAAAUGGCAAAUUUCAUAUUAAGGCAACAAGUAAUUCUAGCCUAGCAUGCUGCACAGAAUUCAGGUAAGGCAGUUUGAGCAAAUAGAGCAAUUAAAUCACUUAGACAUGCUUUCCUAAGCUAAGACAGGCUUAAUAGUGCGAGUAAUAAAAACAAAAAAAGAAACAUACUAGUAAUUACUUAAUGAAAACCAGAUUUCAAAUUUCAUAUUAAGGCAACAAGUAAUUCUAGCCUAGCAUGCUGCGCAGAAUUCAGAUAAGGCAGUUUGAUCAAAUAAAGCAAAUAAAUCACUUAGACAUGAUUUCCUAAGCUACGACAGGCUUAAUAGUGUGAGUAAUAAAAACAGGAAAAGAAACAUACUAGUAAUUACUUAAUGAAAACCAGAUUUCCAACAAUUAGCACAAGUACGCACUAGUCACCUCACGUAUAAGGCAUUUCAAUUAUCAAAUAUACCAAAUCCUAAGGGGAAAGGUCUCUCACACAAGGUUAUGCAAGCCACUUACCUCGAACCGGCUCAAUAAUCAAUCCGAAACUAUGCUCUUACCACGAGUACUCAACUCCAAAUUACCCAAAUCUAUUCAAUUCAAUUGCAUAAUAUAAAUAACAUUUCAAGUAACUGAUUCUACAAAGAAAUUCUAAGCUAAUACGCAAAAUUAGGUAAAAUGACCAAAAAUCCCAUAGGGGCCCACGUCUCGAAAACGGGUAAAAUUUAUAUUUUCAGAAAAUUCGUACUCUCACGAGUCUAUACAUAAUAAGAACACUGAAAUCGGAGUUCAAUUGGCCCCUCAAAUACCUAUGUUAAGGUCUUUUAAUCUCAAGCCCUAAUUACCCAUUUUCCCCAAAUUUCUCACCACCAAUUAAGUCCUUAAUCACAUAUAAACGAGUUAUGAAGUCAAAAAUGUUAACUCUAGGUGAUUCCCCUUGAAUACCUCUUUAAUCCUCUUCAAAGAGCUCCAAAAUCGCUCAAAAAUGGUGGAAGAUAAACCCCAAAAUCGUGGACCAAAUGACUAUUUAAACAUUUUGCCCAGUCAUCAAAUCUUUCUUCGCGAACGCGAGGAUCUUUCUUCGCGAACGCGGUCAACGCCUCGCGUUCGCGAAGCACAAAUUUACUUUGGCUAAAAUUCCUUCAUCGCGAUCGCGACACACAACUCACGAACGCGAAGUCUUAGCUCUUAUAUUCAAUGCGAACACGACGUUUCUACCAUGUGUUUGAACGGUUGCAUGUUUCAUCCGGCAUUAACAAACCCUUUUUCGCUCUGCCUUUCACUCUUUAUUUUCUCAUUUUAUUUUUGUCGCUCUUUUAUUUUUGGGUCUCUUUUUUCUCUUUUUGUUUUUUCACUCCUUUAUUUUUUUUUGUCGUCCUUUUUUUCCCCUUUUUGUCACUCUUUUCUUUCUUUUCACUCAAUUUGUUUUUCAAUUUUUUUUUCUCUUAAUUAAUUUUAUGGCUAUGAUUGAAUCCGAUGGGGAUUGCCUACGUACAUGACACCGCAUGAAUCAGAUCAUUACGUAGUUUAGGAAGAUCAGGAAUAGAGGAAAUAAAUUAACUCUUUUUUCUGAUUUCUUUGACAUUUUUUAUAUGAAAAUCAUAUCACAAAGGCUUCUAACAAGGAAAAAUAUUUAGGAUUUUGAAUUUUGAAUUUUUUUUUCUUUUUUUUAUUGUUAUCUGAAAGAAAGAUCUCUACAAAUUCUUUUUCUUUUGUUUUGAAUCAUUGGGAAUUUCAAAAGAAAAAAAAUACUUUUGUUUGAAUUUCCAUUCGUUUUCUCUUCCUUUUUUAUAAAGAAGAAAGAAGAUAUUUUUGAAUUUUGAAUGAUGAUUCUGAAUUCUUGAAAGAGGGACUUUUAAGAAUUUUUUCUAAUUUAAUUUAAGAAAGUACUUCUAAAGAAAAGUGAAAAUAAUUUUUCUACUUUAAAUUUUUAAUUUUAUGACAUUUAUGAAAGAAGGACUUCUAAAGAAGAAAGAGAAUACUUUUUGGAUUUUUGUUUCUGAUUGUUUUUUUAAAAUAAAAAUACUUAUGAAGAAGGGAAAAACAAAUUUUUGGAUUUUGUUUGAUGAUUUUCUUUUGAAUGAAAGACUUCAAAAAGAAGGAAAAUAUUUUUGGGUUUUAAAAUUGUUUUUAGGUUUUCUAAGGAAAGGAAUUUUUUUUGACAAUUGAGGGUCGAAAUUGAUGAGGUUUGCCUACGUAUCUCACAUCCGGUGAGAAUCAGACUCGCGUAGUUUGGUCAGAAGUAAGAUAGAAGAAAUAUGACCUUUUAAAAAUAUUGGCGUAUUGUCUUUCUCUUUUUUUUUUCUAAAUCUUUGGCAGAGUUUCGAAUUUUUCAAAUACCUAUCUCUCAGUCUUGAUUUCUUUUUUCUUUUUCUUUUCUUUUUCUUUUAAAUUUCUUUCCAUAUUCUAGAAGCUGGUCAACAUACAAUCCAGAUCAAACAAAUGUACAAGUAACACGUAAAAUUCAUUAGGAUGGUCUUUUUAGUUUGGGAUGCACCCGUCCUAGCGGACCUAACCCCUGUGUUGAGUCCUUAAGGUCAAAUGCACGUGAUGCAAAUAAGCGUACCUACUAGGGAUCCGACAUGAGGCUAUGUCAUUAUAUGUUUUAAAACCUGAGUGUAUUGUUCUAGACCUGGCUUAUCCGAGCGGACGACUCGAGCCGAGGGGGGGCAGCGUACCGGGAAUACAGAAGCUUCACCGACUUUGCAACUUGUUGAAAUCUCGUUCUAAAAUUAGGAUAUGACUCUAACAGAAAAGAAGUCACGCGAAGCACGCUUCCUAGAAGAUUUAGAAGACCAAGAGAGAAGAAAUGUUUCGUAACAGUUUUAUAUACAGUUCAAACAAUAUCAAAGAGGUAAAAGCGGCAUUUAGCACGUUAGGCUCAAACACGUAAAAAUUAGAUAAUAAAUAAAAGCCAAGUAUAAUAGUUAUUCUAAGCUCGAAUUCUAAACUCUGAACUAGAGAUUCUGGGUUCGUUUCCCAGUAAAGUCGCCAUAGCUGUCAGAGCUGGCUUUUCAAGAGGGGAUAGAGAGUUUUUUCAAUUAAUGGGACAUUAUUUAAAAUGGGAUUAUUUAUUUGAUUCAAAGACGCCACUUGGAAUAAUUUAUGGUGUCCAAAAUCACCGGUUUAUUUUAAAUCCACAAUCGAGGAAAUCUGACUCUAUUUUAAAGUCAGCAAAACCAGAAGGCCGGGAAAGAAAUUCUGUUAACCCAGGAGAAGGUGUGAGGCACUCCCGAGUUCCGUGAUUUUAGCACGCACUCAAUUAUUAAUAAUUGGACUAAUUAUCUAAUUAAUUAUAUAUUUAUAACCCAUUGUGCAUUUUUAACUUCUAACCACUUCCAAUUAAUUUAAUCCCAUUUUAGUAUUUAUGGAAUUAUUUUUGGAAUAAGUCAUGAUACCGUACACUUAUCGUUUUGGUACACGUUGCAAAUCAUGCCACAUGAAAUGCACCCGCAAUUUACGACAUGUUUAUUUUUAUUAUUAUUUGAAGUUAUGGUCGAGUCACGUGAAAUGUGCACUCGAAUUGGGGAUUACGUAUCAUGACUAUACCACGGGAACCAUACUUAUAGUCACGAUAAUUAUUAUUAAUCGAGCCUAAAGCAAGCUACACAUUUGAAUGAUUCAAUUUAUUUCAAUCAUUAUGACUGCAUAUAGCUUGAAAUUUUAUGGAAAACAACAUUCAAUCAGAAAAAGGCAAAAGCAUUACAUGAUAUAUGAGAAAGACUGACCUCUUGUUUGAAGGAAUAUAUUACUUCUUCAGAAUAUUCUUCAUUUGCAAAUAUUUUAACAGCAACAUCAACAUAGAAAAAUGAACAGUAAUGAAACUCCUCAGCAAACCCAAAGAAUCGACGCCAAACCCGGAAGAACUCGAAACCAGUGUUCUGCUUCUUCUUUUUUCGAACUUUUGUUCUAAACUCUUAUUUUUUUCGAAUUUUUUCAGCUCUGCUUUUUUAAUCACAGAGUAUUUCGUGAAAGCUAGUGUGUUUGUGUGUGUGAGUCGUGAGUGAGAGGUGAGUGAAGCGAGUGUGGAGGUGAAAGUGAGGAUAGUCAUUCAAUGGAGGAAGGUUGUCCGUCUCUCUUGUUGAGCGAGAGAUCAGGAAAAAGAAAUAGGAGAAACAUCACUAGGGUGUUCAGGAGGGGGAAAGUCCAAUUUUCUAGGGCUUGUUUUUUGGAAAAUGGGGUUUUAAAGAGAGGGGAAGAGCUGGGCCAGGCGGGUUUGUGGGAUUGGUCUAGGCAGUGUGGGAAUUGGGCUUAAAAAUUGCAACUUCAUUCUUCUAUUUCCUUUCUUUUUCAAAUUUAGCCAACUUAAUUGAACUCCUAAUUGCUCCUAUUUUUCAUUACUACGCUGCUAAAAUUGUGAAUCAAUUUAAACUAAUUAAUUUAAACAUGCAAAAAAAUGAUUAAUGUAGUAUUAUUUUUUGUAAUUUUAGUGUUUUUAAAAAAGGCACCUAAAAAUGCAAAGAGUUAAAAAAUAACAUAUUUUUUGUUAUUUUCAUGAUUUAAAAUGCUACUAAGUAUGAGAAGAUUUAAAAAAUUUCACAAAGGCAACUAAAACUAUUUUGGAGUAUUUUAGGCAUGGAGCAAAAAUUAGGUGCUCACAAUAUGUUUGAAUUUAUGUCCGUGUUCUUGUUAUUUGCUAAUGGGUAAGCAAGACAGUUGUCUUCAUAUUUGGAUAUUGGCUUAUUGGGCCAUGUGUGUGUUAUUGGAUCUGAGCAUUGCUCAGACAUGCUUGUGAGUCUAGUGUUAGGCCUGUUGGAUACGCAAGAGUAAGGUUGGUGAAGGUCCUGAAGGCACUGCUGGGUUAUUUUAUACUUGAGCUGGACCUGUAAUUGUUGUAUUUAGUCCUGAAAUUAUCCUAUUAAGUCUGUAAUCAUUUUACUAUUCUAUUUCUUGGGCAUGUAAUAAUCUGUAACAAUGAAUGAUGGGGAAAUUAAUCGAAAAGGGGCUGGGAUAUUCUAAUGUUUGCAUGAAUGGGUAGAUAACAUGCUUAUAGGGUCUACAUGCUUGUUUGUUACUUUGUUUGAUGUCCCUAUGUCUAUACACUAAUAGAGAUCAUGCUUAUAGAAAUUCAAACACUCAACUCACUAACUUGUCUAACCCCGCACAUCUUCAGAAGCAUGAGUUUAAAUGCUUUACUUGUUCACAUGUCUACUUCUAUGUGUUAUUAGAUAGCAUGCCUAUAGGAAUCAAGCAUCGAUAACUAUUCACUCAAUUCGUGUUAUUGCAGUGUGCUUAUUAGAUAGCAUGCCUAUAGGAUCGUAUGAAUAUAUGCCUUUGCUAAUACUCAUCUAAAUACCAUGUCUAUAGGGCUUUAAUUGAUUAACUAAUCGACUACUUCUGUUGUCUUAUUACUUUGCCCACCUAGAUAACAUGCCUAUUGAAAUAAGCACGACAAAUCUACGUUCAAAUACCAACUAUUACAGAACCUAGCUAAUAAAUGUUGUUACUCUCUGAGAAAGCAUGCCAAUAGGAUCAAACACGGGUAAUUCGGAGUUUUCCAAUGGCUUUCACUGCCUCAUCGUGCAAAAUCACUUAGAGAUCAUGUCUAUAGAUUUUCAUAACUUGUAAUUUGUAAUAUCAAUAAUCUGAAUAGCAUCACUACCCAUGAGAAAUUCUUAAACUGUGUGUCACUUAGAAGCCAUGCCUAUAGGUUUUAAACAACACCUCGAUUCUAAAACUACCUACUGCAUAAUAUAAAAUCUGUCUGCGUGCUCUUGUUGCUUAUGUGUGGAGGCUAACUUAAGCCAUUCAUUGUCUUUAUGUGUAGUACUACAUAUUUUGUAUGUGUGCCUAGUUUUAUCAUUCUGAGCACCCUAAGUAAAGUCUAGAAACACCCAAAUAGAGGUCCAAAGCCUCCUAGACCACAAGUAUAGGACGGGUAGUGGACGCAUAGGGUAUGGUUUAGAACUGAAUUAGAGCGCCUUUAAGUAACAACUUCAAUAUAGUAAUUGGAUAGCAGGAGAUAAUAGUCUGUGCCCGCUGGAUAAUAUGAGCAAUCCCAUACCUUAAGGGGCUUGUGAAGUAUUAUUUAUGUUGCACGGGGUGAUCCUUUAGGCUAAAAAACUUAGGACCCCUCCCUCUUUCUUUAUACACUUGUUAUUUACACUUAGUUAUUUAACAUAGAUCAAUGUAUUUGUAACGUUGUAAAUCAUUAAACAUUUGCACCAAUUCCCAGUGUGUUUUGAUAAGACUCUUCGAUUUCUAUAUUUUCCUUUGUUUAUUUGAUCACCUAGCCUAAUUACAUAAUCCACAUAGUUUAAAGUUCGGCCGGGAUUCACAGUUGUUGACCUCGAAGAGUGCCUAAUUUGAGCUCUUACCCGAUCUUUGGUGAUGCAGACUAGUUAAAAUAGAGUCAUUUGCAAAUAGGUGCCCUAACGCACCUUAAAAAUCGUUAGGUGGCGACUCUUCUCUUUUAAUACCCAUUUAAAAGAGUUGUCACAUGUCGAAACCCGCUUUCAUGAGAAAACGGGGCGCGAAAGCAUCUAGUGGUGUUGUACUCGGAUUUAGCCACAUUUGAAGACUUGAGGUAUAGUUGCAUGACGACCACAUCCCUAAGUCCCCCUCUUUCUCCAUUUUACUGUUUACCUAGCCUCAGAAAAUUAUACUUUAUUUCAGACCAUAGAUGUAUUACUCUAGUUGUUCAUGUCUUCGUGACUCCGAAUUCUAGGAAAUGUUUGGAUAUUAUCAUAUGUAUUAAAUAAUCUAGCUAAUGUUGGCUUGCCUAGGAAGUGAAAUGUUAGGCGUCAUCACGGUCUCGGGGGUGGGAUUCUGGGUCGUGACACUAUGGUUAAGUUAUGUAACAUUACAUAUACUACUCUCAACACCCUCCAAUCUCCCCCCCUCCCCCCCCCCAAGAGGUGAAGAUAUUCUUCAUCCAUAGCUUGGAUAACAAGUGGCCAUGUUGCAGUAUGACCAAACCUUUGGUAAGGAGGUUAGCUCGCUGAUCAACAGUAUUAACAUAAACAGUGUUGAUUAAUACUUACUGAAUCCUUACACACAAAAUGGUAAUCGAUAUCGAUGUAUUUGGUGCGUUCGUGAAAACAUGGUUGGCUGCAAUUUGAAUUGCUGAUUUGCUAUCACAGAAAAUAGGAAAGAAAGCUUGUUGCACCACCCCUAACUCCAUAAAAAAUCCCACUAGCCAAACAAUCUCAAUGACAGUAGAAGUUAGACUCCUAUUUUCCUUAAGAAGAGCUACUGGAGAUUGUUGAUUAUUUCUUAUACUUACAUAAAAUAAGGGAAUCACCAAAUUUCACCAAGUAUCCAGUGACAGACCUUAUGUUGUUGGGACAAGCAGCCCAAUUAGCAUCACAAAAAGAGGACAAGGAACUAGAACAUUUAGCCAUCAUUAACACCCCUAGACCAGGACAGUGCUUUUCAUACCUACCAACCCUAAGGGCAACUUCCAUGUGAGAGGACUUAGGAUUUUUGACAAGCUUGAAACACAUACUUAAAUAUGCUCGCUAGUCGAAUAUGGUAUAAUAUAAUAUCGUAUCCUUAUCCUCCUAACUAGGUUUAGUCAACAAUUUAAGUAGCCUCUUUCGAUUACUAAGAUGAAUUAAUAAAUUCAACCAAAAAAUAGAAUGCAAAGAUAUAACAAGUUAUGCCUCUCUCGAUUACAUGAAUAAGUGAAAAUAGAUGCCACAGUUAAAACAUCCAAAACGAUUCAAUACAUAAAAACUAGAGUUAAUAUCCACAAAAAAGUAUCAAUACACCAAAACCAUCAAGUCCUAAAGAGAACUAGUCCAUAGAUAUGGAGCAAUUCUUCAUAAAUAUGUUUAAGUUAAAGGAAAACAUAAACGAUCCAAACACUUGUCUUGAGUGAGGAUUGAAUGAUGAAAUCCUUGCGCUUUUGCUUCUCCACCUCCUCCUUAGCUUUCUUAGGUCUAAGAUGUGUCAAAGUCCUCAAAAUAACGUUCUUCAAUGUAUAUAUAUCAAGUUGGGUUGGGCCUAGACGAAAACACCUUUUCCUGUGCAAAAUAUGAUUCUAGCUCUGUCAGUAGUGAAACUUAUCAGAGACCUUUCAAUUUGACUGGUGGCAAAAUUUGGGCAGCCGCCACUAUGGUAGAUUCUUAGAGUCUGGCCUUUUGCUUUGUUUUUGAAGUUCAGACAUGAUUCUCGACCCCCGAACGUGAUCCCGACUUAAUACUUUAGGCUUUUACUCAGAAUUCAAAGCUCCAAAUAGCUAGAAUUAGCUCCAUAACAUCUACAUCACUCGGAAUUACCCCUACAAGGCAUAAAAUACGCAAUUAGUGUAAAACACUAGUGAUUAAAGCUCAAGCUCAAUUAAUGUGUAGUAAAUUAGAGUGUAAUAAGCGACUAAAAUACGGGAUUAUAACCUACUAUCAACACCCCACACUUAAACCAUUGCUCGUCCUCGAGCAAUCAAAAAACACUUUAUAAAGACACGCCCUUUUUAAACAACUCUCCUAACUCAUCAUACCAAGAGUAUUUCAAAUAUAUUAUGCAUCAAUAUAUAUUAACUCCCUACUUCUAUAAGCACAAUUACAUCAAGAGUUACCACUUAUAAAAGAAUAUUUGCAUAAUAAUACAACUAAAUUUUUUUUCUUUUUCUUUCCCAAUUCAAGUGGAUCUUACUUUUUCAAAACAAUGCAACUUUUCUCCUAUUUCAAUAGUUUCACUCAAAAGCCAAACCAAUCACCCCACACUUCAUCAUUUACAAAGUUCAUAACAAAUUCAAGUGCUCAUUAGAGGUGAAAAGGUUCAAAUAGAUGGUCAAUUCAAAUAAAUGGUUAAUGUUGUAAUGUGGUUGCCAAAGAAAUAGGAUUAUAGUCUCAAAGGGGUUAACCACGAUACAUAACAAUUAGGUAGGUAAAACCAUAUAACUGGCUCAAUAAAGAAAUGCCUAUAUCACUUCGAAGACUUAAUAAAACUACUAUUUCGCUUUGCAAACACACGGAACAAGUUCUAGACAUCAAAUACAAUGCACAGAAUAACACAAAACCCCACACUCACAUGGCACAAAACUCUCUCAAGAUUGGACUAUCAAGACACUCUAGUCAAAGCAGUUAAGCAAAGUUAAGAUCAUAUACUUUAAGGUACUUAUACAAGAGUCGAAAACUGAGCCUAAGCGUUACAACUAGAGCACUCACUAUUCUCAAGGUAUAAUAGAGUUAAAAGAUAUUUCUCUCAAUUCAAAUCAUUGCACAAAAUUGUCUACUCCUAACAAAAAUAAAAACUAACUACAUCUGGUUUAAACAAAACCCUUGGAAAAGAAUCGCGACCCAAAGAAAAAUCAAGGGGGAAUUAUUACACUACCUACAAAAGAAAAUCAUUUUGUCUUUUUCUUUCGACUUUACUCCCUCAAGGAAACUUUGGAAUGAUAUCCAUCGUCGGGAAAAAUUUUAAAUUUUUUGUGCUUCUUCAAUUUUUUUUUUCCAACUACUAAAAAGAAAAACUAACACAUAUAGUUAUUCCCCACCCCACACUUUAAAUUGUGUCAUGUCCCCAUUACACACAGUUAAAAAGCAUAAGGUAGAGGAAAUUUCCCUGAAUAUCUAGUUGGGGUCUGAAUCAAAGUCGGGAUCCAUUCCACGCGCCCGAACUAGUGCACACAUCCAUGUAGACAUAUUUUUCUCAGCCUUCUUGGGGUAUACCCCACAAUUAUCUCUCUCAAUAACUGCAACCUUCCCUUUCACUUCCUUCACCUUCCACUCAACACUUGCACAUGGCUUCUCCUUUUUCACCCCUUUUCUACAUUCAUCUCAAAAGUUACCGUCUCCUCUCCCACUCUUAGCAUUAUCUUUCUCUCGUGUAUAUCCAAAAUUUCUCUACCCAUUGCUAAGAAUGGUCUUACUAGGAUGAAGGGUAUCUCUUUCAUCUUCACCACUAAAAAGUCUACCAGAAAUACAAACUUAUCCACCCGCACUAAGACAUCUUCAACUAUCCCCUCGGGUAUUAUAUUUGUUUGAUCUGCCAACUCAAAUGACAUUGGUGCAGACUUUAUCUCUCCAAUCUCAUUCUCCAGUUUCAUGUAAAUAGACAACGCCAUUAGAUUAAUUGAGGUACCAGAAUCACAUAAAUAUUUAUCAAAUUUAAGAGUGCCUAAAGGGAAAGAUAUGGUAAAACUCUCUGGAUCUCCACACUUUUGUGUGAGUUUGUUUUUCAAGAUUACACUACAAUGCCUGUGAGUUUGACCACUGAGGUCUCUUCGAUCUUCCUUUUCUUUGUAAGGAUCUCCUUCAAGAACUUUGGCAUAAGCUGGCAUUUGUAAGAGAACUUCUGUGAAUGGCAAAUUUACAUUAACUUACCUCAGCAUAUCUAGAAAUCUCUCAAACUGCUUGUCCAGCUUCUCUCUAUAUAGCUUUUGCGGGAAAAGUAGAGCAGGCAUAUGCUCGAUCAUAUCAUGUUCCUCCCUUCUCGAAGUUUCCUCUUUCUUCUUUUUGUCAGCUCCCUUCUUGCCUUUCUUCUUCUUAUCAUCUUCAGUUUUCAGCUCCUUCCCACUUACUUUUUCAGGUGUCUCAUCUUUUUGAAUUGGAGUGGGUUCUUUUAGCACUUGCCUGCUUCUCAAGGUCACAACAUUUACAGUUUCUUUGGGAUUCUUCUCAGUAUCAGCUUGUAGAGUACUUGGGAUUCUCUCAGACAAUAUAUUUGCAAAUUGUCCCACUUGUCUCUCCAAGUUACACAAAAUUGUCCCAAGUUCUUUGAUAGUUGCACCAUAGAAUCUAGCCUCUCAUAUGUCUUGAUAAUGAAGGACUUCAUCUGAUCAUCUAACCCAUACUAAAUUGGCUAUUGAGGCUGAAACUACGGCCUCUGCUGAUUUUGGAAGCCUGGAGCUCCUUGUCCCCGAAAUCUGGAGUUAUUUUGUUGCCAUGCAUUUGGAGUAACUCCAUGUGAACUCCAUGAAAAAUCGGGAUGCUUCUGACCCAUUGUAUUGAAGUUAUAAUUACCCACAACAUUCACUUCUUCCAUUGAAGCUUGACACUGAUAAGUAGGGUGUCCUCUUCCACAUAUAUCACAGGCUGCAUGAGGCUCAUUGUGUAUUGACGCUAAUGUCAGCUUCCUUAUUUCUGUGGCCAUGGCAUCAAGCUGUACCUACACAGAUGUAUUAUUAUCAACUUGGUGAAAACUACUUGAUCUUCUUCUUUCAGUAAUCUCAGAGGGCCACUGAUUUGCUUCUUCGGAUAACUCGUCUAGAAUAGUGACUAUCUCCUCUGGAGUCUUUUUCAUCAACGGGCCUCCAACUGCGUUGCUCAAUGUUCUACGUGAGGCUGGUGUCAAUCCAUCCCAAAAGUCUUGGAGUUGCAUCCAGAGUUCAAUUCCGCUAUGUUGACACUUUCGUACUAUUUCCUUAAACCUCUCCCAAGCUUCAAACACAGCUUCAGUCUUAUUCUGGAAGACGUUAUGAUUUUCUCUUCUAAACCUGCUAGUCCAAGCUGAGGAGAAAUAUUUAGCAAGAAAUUUUCUGGUCAUCUCCUCUCAGGUUCUAGUUGAUCCAUGGGUCAAGCUUCGAAAUCAGUUUUUUGCAUCAUCUUUGAGAGUGAAGGGGAAUGCCCUUAAAUGAACUACAUCUUGUGACACACCAUUGUAUUGAAAGUUGUUCAUGAUCUCCUCAAAGUCCAUUAGAUGAUUGUUUGGAUCUUCGUUAUGUUUUCCUCUAAAGACAUAAUAGUUUUGAAGGGUUUGAAGAAACCCCUGCUUCAACUUAAAAUUAUUAGCUGCAACUAGAGGAGGUCUCACACUUGAUAAGCCUUGGUUGUAGACCAGUCUAGUAUAAUCGCCAAGUGGUCUCCCUUGGCUGGGAGCUAUGUUUCUGAAUUGGUCUGCACCCAAGAGCUGAUUCUAAGCCAUUCUUCGAGCCCACUCUUCUUCAUAUGCAAUUUCUACAUCUCUAAUAGUUGCUUCCUCAGCAUCCCGAGCAGCUUUCUCUCUGAGUUGGGAUGCCUCCCUCGCAGCCAAAUCUACAUUAUCAUCAUCUCUCGCCAUAGUUUCUUUAGUUGAGGAUUGCCUAACCUUCUCUAUAUUCUCGGAGAGAUUUCUUUUCUUCCUCAACUAUCGCAGUUGUUUCUCGAUUUUUGGUUCCUAUGGUUGCACUUCCUUCCUAGAAGAUCGAUUCAUGCACCAAUCUAACAUGUAGCCUGCGCACAGUCAAAGAACACUAAAAGUAGAAAGCAAAAAAAAAUAAAAAAAAUUCCUGAAUUAGUACUACAAACUAUUUCAAACAUUAUUGAUUGCCAAUCCCCAGCAACGGUGCUAAAAUUUGACGAGCUUGAAACACACACUUAAAUAUACUCGCUAGUCGAAUAUAGUAUAAUAUAAUAUCGUAUUCAUAGGGAUUGAAGUUAAAAAGUAUUAUCGUAGUUUAUACGUAGAUUGCUAUCCAAGAUGCUCAAUAAUUGAGAGUUUUGUAAUUAAUACUAAAAUUAACUAAGAAUCUAAACUAUUUGCUAAUGACAAUCAACAUAAGUAAUGAGCAAAGAAAGUUAUCAAUUGGGAGAAGAUAGGGUUGAUAGGUGUGAAGACCCAGCCAGUCGUCUCAUGAGUUACCGCUCCGUUUUCCCCAUUUCUGAUUUUUAUUUAUUUGUCUAUCGGUUCUAUAUACGAUCGGGUUGGUUGGCUCACAUUCGAAAGGAUUUGGUAAGGUUUGAGACACUUAGUCUCUUUUGAGGAAGCUUAAGUUGGAAAAGUCAAUCGGAUGUUGACUUAUGUGUUAGAGGGCUCGGAUGUGAAUUCCAAUGGUUCUGAUAGCUUUGGGAGGUGAUUUGGGACUUAGGAGCGUGAUCAGAGUGUGUUUUGGAGGUCCGAAGUAGAUUUAGGCUUGAAUUGGCGAAAUUGGAUUUUUGACGUUUUCCGGUUGAUAGGUGAGAUUUUGAUAUAGGGGGCAGAAUGGAAUUUUGGGAGUUGCAGUAGCUUCGUUGGGUCAUUUGGGAUGUUUGUGCAAAAUUUCAGGUCAUUCGGACGUGGUUUGGUAUACUUUUUGAUCAAAAGCAUAAUUUGGAAGAUUUUAGAAACUUAGGCUUGAAUCCGAUGUGUUUUGGUCGAUCGAUGUUGUUUGAGGUGUUUUGAAGAUUGGUAUAAGUUUGGAUGGUGGUAUAUGAUGCGUUUGUGCUUUGGGUUGAGGUCCCGGGGGGCCUCGGGGUGAUUUCGGAUGGUUGGCGGAAAGAUUUGGAGUUGGCUAUGAUAGCUGAAGUUUCCCAUUGCUGUCAUAACCGCACAUGCGGCGAGGGGACCGCAGGUGUGGUUUCGCAGAAGCGAGAUUGUAGUCGCAGAAGCGGAAAGGAGCUAGGAGAGAUGGAACCCUAGAAGCGGUCAAGGAGCCGCACCUGCGAUGGCGCAGGUGCGGAUUUAGCAUCGCAGAUGCGGAUCUGGGCGACUUAAGUGAGGAUCGCAGAUACGGUUCAAGGACCGCAAAACAGGUACCGCAGAAGUGGUAGAAGGGGGCUGCAGAUGUGAAAUGCCUGGGCCAGAAGGUAUAAAUUAUUUCCUUCGCGAUUUUUGAGCUAUUCCACCAUUUCAAACUCGGCUUUUGGAGCUUUUUGGGCGAUUUGAAGAAGGAUUUCAAGGGAACUUCAUUGAGGUAAGAAUUUUGGACCUGAAACUCGUUCCUAUAGUAUUAUUUCACAUAUUAGAGCUAUAAUUAAUGGAAUUUAAGGGUCAAAAUUGGGGAAAACUAGGGCAUGGUAUUGGAGACCUAGACUUGAGGAUUUGAGGGACCAUUUGUGGUAGGAUUUUGGUACUUUUGAUAUGUAUGAACUCGUGGGGAGAUAAUGAAUCUAUUGAUGUGAAUUUUAUCAAAUUUCGAGAUGUGGGCCCGGGGGUUAGGUUUUGGUAAUUUCGGGAUUUAUGCUGUCAAUUGAUUAUUUUUGCAUGGGCUUCGUUCCCUUAGCAUAUUUUGACAUCGUGAUUCUGAUUUUGGAUAGAUUUGAUGCGAGUUGAGGCCGAUUCGAGGGGAAAAGGCGUCGCGGGCUAGAGUUUGGACCGGAUUGACGUGAGUAAUAAUUGUAAAUGUUGUCCUGAAUGUCCGGAUUGCACAUCGUUGUGCUAUAUUGAAGUGAUGCACAUGCUAGAUGAUGAGUGUGGGGUCAUGCACUCUGUGAAAUUGUGACUUAGUCUGUCCCGAAUGACUAUUUUACCGCGUAUUUGUCUGAAAGCUAUUUGCUAUCAUCAUGUUUUGGGCUGAAUGCCGUAUUUGGGCCUCGUGCUAACUAUUUGAACCCUUAGGAGAUUUUUACUGAUAUUUCCUCAAUGUUUUGACUUUAUACUUGUACUCAGUCAUGCUAUAAUCUAUUGUUUUCAUAACUCAGCCAUGUUUACUCCGCUUUAACACUUAAAUGAUAUUUUGGGUUAAGCAUCAUGUUUUAAUAUUGCCCGAGUGGCUUGUGAGAAUUUUGACUGAGUAUAGCCGAGGGCGUAUGUUGUGAGGAAACACCUGAUUAUGAUUAUGAGGACUAGGACCUGAGAUUUGUAUGCCACGAGGUGGCUUGUUGAUAUGAGGCCGAGAGCCUAGUUAUGAUGCCACGAGAUGGCUUGAUAUUGUGCUUGGGCCGUAAGGGCCCCUCCGGGAGUCUGCACACCCCCGGUGAGCGUGGGUACCCAUUGUGAUGUGAGAUGUAGCCCGAGGGGCUGGUGUUGUUCUAUGAUAUUGCCCGAAGGGCAGAUUUUGUUGACAUUGUGCCCGAGGGGCGAUCCUUUAUGUAUUUAUCAUUUCUAGUUGACUGUCAUUUACUUGCUUAAUUGAUAAAAAGGCAUUUUAUGAAGUUUAAAUUGAACUAAAAUGACUUUACAUAUUUUCACUGUUUCACUAUUUUUACUGGCUUUUACUGCUUUCUUAUAGCCUGUGAUGUGCCUUACGUGAUUUCAUAUUUCUCAAUCUUUAUUUAUGAUUAUUACUCACUGAGUUGGAGUACUCACUUUACUCCCUGUAACCCAUGUGCAGAUUAAGGCAUUGCUGAUCCUGCUUGCGAGGGUUGAGAGCUCCCAGUAGAUUUCGG
rnacentral:lncRNA from 1 species